rnacentral:lncRNA from 1 species
CCAAUUCAAAGUGUGGAUUCAAGAAGUUCGCACAGAAGCUUAUGCCAUUGAGGAUGUUCUUGACCUAUUCAGACUCCACCGGGAUCAAGAAUCAGUGUGGAGCCACUUGAAAAUGCGGCACUCCAUUGGCAACCUGAUACAGGAUAUUAACACAAGGCUCGUGAUCAUUAAGCAGACAAAGGAGAGGUAUCAGAUCAUGGUCUCCACUUCAAUUAGCGCUGAAACCAACGCAUACCUUAAUGUGAGAGUAGCUCCUUUGAUCAUCGGCAGGGGCGAUAACAUCCUGGGCAUCGAUGAGCCUAAAAGGAAGCUGGUUUCUUGGGCAUUGGAGUCGAAUCAGAAACUCAAGGUUAUGUUCGUGGUGGGGAUGGCUGGACUGGGGAAGACAACGCUCGCCCGCAGCGUGUACGAGAUGGUGAAGGAGCACUUUGAUUGCCAUGCCUGGAUCAUUGCUUCAAAGUCCAAAACCAAACCUGAAACUUUACGGAGCUUGUUGGAGCACCUUGGCUGUUCGACAGAGGGGUCCAACAUAGUUAUUCUGAUGCAUAGACUGCAAAAUUUUCUCCAGCCCAAACGGUAUGUUAUAGUUGUUGACGAUUUAUGGGUAAAAGAUGUGUGGGAAUCCAUUAGACUUGCCUUGCCAGAUGGUAACAACAAUAGAAUAAUUAUCACUACAAGAAGAGGCGAUAUAGCUAAUUCUUGUAGAGAUGAUGAUUCUAUUGAUAUCCACAAGGUUCAGCCACUGUCACCGCAAUGGGCUGAGCAACUCUUCUAUAAGAAAGCUUUCUCAAGAAAUGGCAGAUGUCCUUCAGGCUUGGAGGAAGUCUCCAAAUCCAUCUUACAGAAAUGUGAUGGAUUACCACUUGGGAUUAUUGAAAUCGGUAAGCUGUUGUGGGGUAAGCGUCAAAGUACAUACGAGUGGAAAAAAUUAGAUGAUAGCCUUGAGUCUGAAUUGAGAAGCGGUGGUGGCCUUUCAGAUAUAAUGAGAGUGCUUUCUGCAAGUUACAAUGAUUUACCUUACCAUCUCAAGUAUUGCUUCUUAUACAUGAGUAUUUUUCCUGAGAAUAAUCCAGUUAAGCGAAGAAGACUGAUUCGGCUAUGGAUAGCUGAGGGAUUUGUAACAGAGGAGAGAGGCAAGACUCUUGAAGAGGUGGGGGAAGAGUACCUGAAUGAGCUUAUUGGUAGGAGUCUCAUAAAGGCAAAUGAAAUGGACUUUGAUGAAAGACCAAUAACUGUUGGAGUCCAUAGUCUCAUGCAUAGGAUAAUUCUCUCGGUUUCACAAGUGGAGAACUUUUGUACUGUUUGUGCAGGACCAGAAGGAAACUUGGCUGACAAACCCCGACGCCUAUCCAUCCAGACGGGAAACUUUGAUGUGUCUCAGGACUUAACCUGUGUUCGAACUUUUUUCAGUUUCAGUACAGGUAGGGUAAACAUUGGUUCGAAUUUCAAACUAUUGAAGGUUUUGGACAUACAAAGCACUCCUUUGGAAAACUUUCCAAGUGCCAUUACAGAUCUUCUGCUCUUGAGGUACUUGAGUUUGAGGAAUACAAAUAUAAGGAGCAUCCCCAAAUCCCUCAGGAACCUACGGCACCUUGAGACCUUGGAUCUUAAGCAAACUCUGGUAAAAGAGCUACCCAAAGCAGUCCUACAACUUGAUAAACUUCGCCACUUGCUGGUUUAUGCCUACAAUAUGGGAAGUGUUGUAGAGUUUGAUGCCGUUCAAGGGUUCACUGUACCGAGAAAGAUCGGAGCAAUGAAGAAUCUGCAAAAGCUAUCAUUUGUAAAGGCGAAAAGGCAUAACAGAAUGAUACAGGAGCUCAAAAAUCUGACAAAGCUGAGGAAGCUGGGCAUUGUAGAACUAGCAAAAGAAGAUGGCAAUAGCUUGUGCCACUCAAUUGAGAAGAUGCCGGAUCUCCUUUCCUUGGAUGUUACCUCCCUUAGUAAGGGGGAGCCUUUGGAGCUUGAUGCAAUGACCAAUCCCCCGCGUCUUCUUCAACGCCUGUAUCUCAAAGGGCACUUGCAAAGGUUUCCAAAGUGGGUAUCUUCUCUACAUGACCUGGUGAGAAUACGCCUAAAAUGGUCCUUAUUGUCACAAGACAACCCAAUUGAAGCUCUUCAAGAUCUUCCAAACUUGAUGGAGCUGCAGUUACUUGAUGCAUACACUGGAACCCAGUUGGACUUCAACUCGGGAAAAUUUCAGAAGCUUAAGAUAUUAGACCUUGAGCAAUUGAAACAGCUGAGGUUUAUCAUAAUGGAAGAUGACACAUUGCCUUGCCUACAAAAGCUGAUCAUAAGGCAAUGCAAUGAGCUGGAACAUGUCCCCGUAGGCAUUGACGGGCUUCAUCAUCUCAAUGAGCUGCACCUCUGCGAUAUGCCUGAGAAAUUCGUGGCACUGCUGAAGAAAAGAGGCGGUGAACUUCGCCAUUUGCUUCACCGUAUUUUGCGUAUUCUCUCAUAUCAACAGGGCCAGUUGGUGGAAGAUCUUUCAUGACCAUAAAUGCUACAUCUGUGACAUGCACCAGUGGAACAAGAAUCAAGGUUUGUAUAACUACAUGGAUUCAUCGCUUGCUUCUUUUGGAUUCCUCAAAAUGCAUUGUCGUCAAUUCCUUUACUAGCAAUAUUACUGCAUGUUCCUAGGAAAUCAUGGUGGGAUAUCUAGCAUUUAUACAUAUCAAACAUCGAAUAUCUGUGGAGUCAUAUUUGAAACUGCCAUUGUUGAAACUACGCCGAGACUCGGUACAAGACAGUCGGAUUAUGGUUAGGUGUCAAGCCCCUGAGCCUUCCAAUUGAUUUUUAUUAUUCUUGUAUUGAUAAUAGUAUGAAGUUAGAAUCAAUUUUAUUAUAUUUCGCUUAAAACGUCGGAAUCAGUUUCACAUUAAGCUUGUAGGAUAGCGAACAAAUUGAAUAUCAAUUUACUAUAAAAAUCUUCUCUUUUUUUUUUUCAAUUUUUUUAUUUAUUUUAUACUUGUGUCUGGUUUGGUUAACAAAUAAUGACAUUAUGCCCACUUGUGAAUUUUUAAUAUUAUGUUUUUAUGAUUAUUUUAGAUGAUAUUAAAUAUAAUAGUGAUUUGCUUUAAUUGUUGGUUUGUUGAAUGCAUUCUUAUCCAAUUGUUUUUAUUUAUUUUCUCUAAAAUUUUUAUUACUUUAAAAUUGUUCUAUACUUUUUAAUUAAUUAAGCAGUUUAUUCUGCAUAUAGUCUGGUUUAAUCGAAUAAAAUACGAUGACGAAGUCCUCUAAGAAUCUUCUAUAAAAGUCAACUCUGCCCAAUCAAUUCUUUCACAGGGGAACAAUGGUUUAUUAAUGUGCAACUAGCGUUUUUAUAAAUAAAAUAUUCUUAAUUUCCUCUAAAUAUCAGAUUAGUGUUAGACAAAACCAAUAAUAAUAUUUUUAUUGGGAUUUUUCAAUGGCAUUAUAAAGUCACCAAUCAAUUAAUAAAAAAUGGUCAUUGAAGUCACCGUGAUUUAUUGAUUUAUUUAUUUUUACCUGGACAAUGAUCUUAAUUAUUGUUUUUUCUGUAUUAUUUAAGUAUCAAGUUUUUAACAAAAGAAACCCAAGGUUAUGGAUGGGCAUUUCUCAAUACUAGAGGUACUAGUUUUUUUAGGGAAAAAUAGGUAUAAAAAAAAUUUAAUAUUUGCUAAAUUUUGGAAAAGUUGAAUAAUAUUGAGAUUAGUACCUUGAAAAGUUAAAAUUAUUCAAACACAAAAUAAAGAAUAAAAAGUAUAUUAAUAAUUUGUUUAGUAAAUUUUAACAUUUCUUUUACUUGAAAUUUUUUUAAAAAAAAAUUCUAUAUAGGGCAUAUAAUUAGGAUUAGGUUUAUUAAUAAAUGAAAUGUUUUUCUUAGCUGACAAUGCAAUCAUGUUGACCCAUAAAUUUGCAUUAGAUUUAUGAGAAAACUUUGAAUUUCUUUAUUUUCUUUUACAUGGCACAAAGGUUUAUAUAGAUUGUCUUGAAGUAGCAGUAAAGUGAUCCUUUAAGUACCACAAAUACUUGUGAUUUGGAAAUAAUCAAAGUCUUCCCAAUUGGGACGACCCUAGGUUCCAAUACAUUAGCAUUGAUUUCUUUGAGUUGUAUAUGAUGCUUCUUUUCAUGUUAUUUACGACAUUGACUACUAGAAUCUCUUGCAGAUGCAAGUGGCAUUCAUUAAAAGUUAAGACCACUGCUUUCAAGGGUCCUAUGUCCAGCUUCCGAGCAACAACAAUACGAGAAUGGGAAUGGUAAUGGGGUGGAAUUUUCUUGAUGGGACAAAUUUGGGAUAAAUAUGAAUGAGUUCAACCAACAAAUUUGAGAUUUUUUGUUUUUUUUUUGAACCCAAAGUGGGUUUGGGUAUGAUGUUGUCCCAUCCCAUAUGUAAUAUUAAAUAAAAAUGAUUUUAAUACAUUUUUGACUUUUUUUAACAUAUAUCAAAUAUUUUUUUUUAUAAAGAUAAAUUAUACAUAUUUAUAAUAUUUAUUUAUUUGUAAAUUAUAUUUAUUUUUAAUACAAUUUAAAAGUAAAAAAAUUAAGAAAAAAUAAAAAAUAGACAGACAAGGUGAAUAUGAGAAUUUUCCUACAUCUGUUCUACCUAUUUAUUUAUUUUUUUCAUGAAAAUGAGAAUAAAUAUAAAUAAAUUGGACGAUAUUAAAAUAUGGGUGACCAUCUCAAACUUGCCCGUUACCAACCAUAACCGAGAAGAUUGGGUCAAUGUGGAUUUUUAAGCUCCUUUUUUGGUUUGGGUUUGCAAAAAAAGACCCAACCAUUUAUUCGUUUGGCCAUAUGAAGUUGAUGAAUGCAACACCUUAACUCGGAACAUGACAUCCAUCAAACUUAGGCAAUCUCUCGCGUAAAUUUUAAGAAAUCACAAUAACUAGGAAUUUUCAACUAUGAAAUUUCCAAAAGAUAGCAUCAUUUUACAUUGUUCUAAGGCCAGUGCCAAAGGGUUCAUGUAGAAUUUUCAAAAUGUUUUUGUCCUGAGAAAAUACAUUUUGGAUAUGUUUCGUACCCAGUAAAUUCCAGGAUGCACAUAAUGGAAAUAAAAUUGAAAAAAAGAAAAAAAAAAGUAAAGAAAAAUAAAAUAUAGAUUUAAGAUCAAUAAAUUAUGUUAUAUAUUUCUUCAAACUAAUUUCACUUAUUUUCCUUAUUAUCUAAAGAUUAAAUAAUUUUAAAAUACAUAAAUCUUUUAUUAACUUUCAUUAUAUUUGAUUUUUUUUUAUAUUUUUUAUAAUAAAAUUAAACAUGAGAAAAUUAGUUUUAUUAACAUUUUUUUUUCUUUUACUUUCCUAGAACCGAACAUAGUACUAAGAAGCUAUAGCUAGAAAUGCCAUGAUACCAUUUUCUUGAAAACUUCCAUAUAAUUAAUAUGUACAUGUAGAUUACCUACAAUUUUCAAAUAGACAAGUACUUGUGUGUUUCAGUUUCCAAAACUUUUAUUAGGAACUCAACUUAAGACUUUACUGAAUUCAUGGGAUUGUCAGAUUUAGUAUAGGAAGAAAUUUUCCAUUGUUGACUAUAAUCUAUAUAUGGUGACCAUGUGACAUUAAUAUAUUUAUUUAGAUAUAUAAAAAAAUAUUUGAUUAAAAGACUUAAAAUACUCUUUGUAAAACCAAGGUUUGGUUAAUCUUGAUUUUGAUGAUAAAAAUAAAAAAUAAAAUUAGAAUUCAUGAUUAUAUUUCAACUGUCACUAGACAAGAUGAUUUCUAGAGUGACAAUCACAAAAAUAAAAUUAAGUCAAAGAGAAAUCAAUAAAAAGAAGAAAACCUCAAAAAGAAAUGUUUUUCAAGACCUAAGCUCCAUAGGAUAUCUUUGUAAGGUUGUUGGUGCACCAAGUUUUUCAUGCAUUACAUUCUUUACUUAUGCACCAAAAUCAUUUAAGAAUUAUUUUGUUUUAAAUAUUUUAAAAUAAGAUGAUUUCAUGUUUUCAACUAAAACUUUGUGUCAAAUACUUUCCAAACUUGUUUAAAAUAGUUUUAAGUUAAAAAGAUGGUUAUUGAACCAAAAACGACUCAAUUGGUUGAGAAAUUUGCUCAAUCGGUUGAACAUAUUGAGGAACCAAUCAACCUGUUCAACUUAACUGGUUGAAGGGUGUAAAAAAACUCUUUCUCUUCCAGAACACUUAUUCGAUCGAUCGAUCGAGGUUGGACCUCAUCCGAUUGACCAAUUCAGCUCAAUCAGUUGAAAGGUGUAAAAAUCUUCUUUCUAUUCCAAAAUACUUCUUUGACUAGUUGAGGUUGGACUUCAUCUGGUCAAGUACUAGUUGAGGAGCGGUUGAGGUUCAACAGUCACCUGUCAUGCAUUAAAUGUUAAUGGCUAGUGAACCAGUCGAAUUGGAGCUCGAUCGGAUGAACUCGCAAUGACUAGUUAGACUUAUCUCCUCUAUAAAAAGGUUCCAAUCUUUAUUGUUUCAAGAGUUUAAUCUUCGUAACCCUUUCUUGAAUAUAUUUGAGCAUUGAAAGUGUGUUUUUUAGUGCACCAUUGUUCUAAAACUUGCAAUCAUUAAUGCACCAGUCAAUCCUAAUUUAUCUUGUAUCAUUUGAACCUAAAGUUUUGUACUAGAUUUUGUGAGAUUAUUUCUUAUCUUCAUUUGUAAAUCUUUGAGAGAAAUAAUCUAAGUGUGAGGUAUCAUUUAGGGAUAUUUAAGUGUGGGGUAUCACUUAGAAAUUCUUAAGUUUGGGGUAUUAUUUGAGGGAUUGUUCAAAAGUGAUCUAUCUCUUAAGGAUUUUAAAGGAUGAACCUAAAGUUCUGUACUAUAUUUUGUGAGAUUAUUUCUUAUCUUUAUUUGUAAAUCUUUGAGAGGAAAAAUCUAAGUGUGAGGUAUCAUUCAGGGAUAUUUAAGUGUGGGGUAUCACUUAGAGAUUCUUAAGUGUGAGAUAUCACUUAAGGGGUUGUUCAAAAGUGAUGCAUCUCUUAAGGAUUGUAAAGGAUGCUUAGAGCCAAAAGUUCAAGAGGGUGAAUUGGAACCAUAAUCCAAUUAUAUUGCUUGAAUGCUUGGUUUGAAAGCCUUGAAUUAGUAGAAUUUCAAACUUGUGAUUGAAACUGGAGGAGAGUGGACAGAGGCUAGGUUGCGUUGAACCAUUAUAAAAAUCUUGUAUUUGCAUUCUCUCUUAUAUUCUCUUUUAAUUUAUAUGCAAUUGUUUUUAUAUUAUUUAUUAUAUAAAUUACAUAUAAUUAUCUCUUAAAUUUACAUAAUUUAAAUUUACAAAAAGAGACCAUCACCCUAUUCACCAUUUUUAGAGUGGUUACCUUAGGUUGGAUUAACUUUUUUUUUUUUUUUAAUACUUUUGAAAUUGGAAAAAUGACGUUCUUUACUCAUUCCUUGAAAAAUAAAAAAAUGAUUCAUUUUGGAUGUUAUUCUUCUUUUUUAUUUUCUUAAAAAUGCCAUUUUCUUCUAUUUCCUAAUUUAUUUAUUUAGUUUUCACAUUUAGGAUACCAAGCUCUCUUUCUCCCUCUAAGUUUAUGCUUUCCAAUUUUUCAUUGAAUUUUUUUAGUGAAGUUCAAAUCCUUAACAAAGAUUAAUGGAUAAUGAUCGGUUGUAGUCCUCUCAUCUUUCUUUUUUCUUCAAGAUUCUUUAUAUUUUCCAUUUUCUCUUUAUUUCUUGUUGGAAUUUUUUAUUAGAGGGUUUUUUUUGAAAUUGUUAUUUUUAAAAUUUUUUGUAGUUGUUUUUUUGCAGGUUUUUUUUUCUUUUUGGUUAACGGUUUUUUGUUGAGGGUUUUUUAUUAGGGCUUCUUACAAUUUCAUUUACACUUCUACAUUGUUUUUGCUUAGGGUUUCUUGGUAGUUAUUUUCUAUUGAAAUUUUGGUUGGGGUCCGUUGCCAUUGUUUUUCAUUAGAGUUUUUUUUAUAGUUGUUUUAUCGAGUUUUAUUUUUUAUUUAUUUUUUUGCAUUUUCACUAAGUCUUAUAAUAAUACCCUCUAUUUUGUCCUUUUGGCACAUGAUACUCAAGUUAGCCAUCAUUCAUCCUUUAUUACUUGUUUGUGCACUUCACGGUCUUUUUUCAAGCUAUUUUUGAGCUCUCAUUGAUGGUCUACUGUGACUAUGUUUAUCACUAGUUUUUUGUAUUUUCUAUAAGAAACAUUUUGGAGGGAUUAGGUGGACCUUAACCUUGAUUUUAGUGACCAUUAAUUCUUAGUUUGUGAUUUUGUUUUUGGUUAAUUUAUAAUAUAUUUAGGCUUUUUUAAAACCUUUAAUGUCACUAGAUAAAUUCAUAAUUUGGAUUGACUAAUAAUAGAUUUCAUUUUUAAAAAAAAAUGUAUAAUGAAGGUCAACAUUGAAUUAAGAAAAAGUUUUUAUUUAUUUAUGAAUUUGAUUUAAUUUGAUCUAAUUAUUUUUGUUUGCAUUUUUUAUUUUUUAUUUUUAUAAAUUAUAGAACUUUAGAUAUCAAUCGUGAUUAUGAAAUAGGUAAAUUGAAAAUUGAUAUAUUAUGGCCACUGAACAUAGGCCCUAAGAUUUUUCAUGCUAUAAUAAUAUUUCUUUUAAUAUCUCAUAAAUCGUAAAUUAAAAUGAAAAUAAAAUUAAGAUUGGAGUUUAUUGAAGACAUCAAAUUCAUGCUUUAAAAUAUAUAUUAAAAUGGGUCGUUUCUUUUAAUAAUAAUCAUACUAAAACAUUUUUUUUUUUUUUUUGCUUUAAUGUCUUACAAGCCACCAACGGCCAACCAGCUGUACCCAACCUUACCAACCGUGAGCCUAGCCUUUUUCAACCUAUAAAACCUAGCCCUUUGUAGCAUUGGGCCAAAAUGACCCAUGUAUUAAAAAAAAAAAAUUAGAUGUAACCAUUUUAUGAAAUUUAUAUUCAAACUAACAUCUUUGAUGCCACGAGGACUCAUGUCAUAAAAAUAUUUUUUUUUUCAAAAUUUUAAUUAAAACCUCAAUUGGUAAUUGAGGUUUCAUUUUUGAACUGAAGUCGCAAUUACUAACUGAGACUUCAGUUAUUGAACUAAAGUCACAAUUGUCAAUUGAGGUUUUAGUUAAAAAAUAAAGUUUCAAUUGACAAUUGAACUAAAGCCUCAAUUGACAACUAAAACUUCAUUUUUUUUAACUAAAACCUCAAUUGUCAACUAAGCCUUAGUUAAUUUUUUUUAACUUUAAAAUUUAGUUAAAAAUUAUUAAAUUAUAGUUUAUUAUUAAAAUUAGAAAUAUAUAUUUUAAUAAUAAAUUAUUUAUAUUUAAGCUUAAAAAUCUAAUAUUACUUCAACAAAUAUAAAUUGAUAGAUAAAAGAUAUUAUAAAUGAAUAUUUUAUUUAUUAAUAAAUUAAUAAUAUUAAAAUAAUAAAUUUAUAUAACAUAUAAAUAAGAUAUAAAAUUGUAUAAUUUAUUAAUUUAAGAUUUUUUUUUAAAGAUAUUAAUGUAUUUGUAUUAUGUUAAAUUUAUCCAUAUGUUCUCUCAUUAUGAAAGCAUAUGAGGUCAUAUAUGUUUUUUUUUUUUCAGCAUAUAAAUGUUUAAUGGGUAUUUUUUGUGACUUUGAUAAAACAACUAAAAAUUAUAUUUUGUAGUAGACUUUUUUUAACUAAUUUUGUCAAAAAAUCUAUAUAUAAAAAUUUAAGAGUAUACUGUUAUUUCAAUAAAGAUAAAUUUCUUAUAAUACAAAUAAAUCAAUGUCUUAAAAAACAACAAAUUAAAUAUCUUAAAUUAAUAAAUUAUAAAAUUUUAUAUCUUAUUUGUAUGUCAUAUAAUUUUAUUAUUUUAAAAUUAUUAAUUUAUUGAUAAAUAAAAUAUUUAUUUAUUGUAUUAUAUUUAUCAAUUUAUGUUUAUUGAAGUAAUACUAGAUUUUUAAGUUUAAAUAUAAAUAAUUUAUUAUUAAAUUAUAUAUUUUUAAUUUCAAUAAUAAGUUAUAAUUUAAUAGUUUUUAAUUAAAUUUAAAAGUUAAAAAAAAAUAUUAACUGAAGCCUCAAUUGGCAAAUACACCUUAGAAGUAUACUAUUAUUUAGAUAAAAAUAAAUUUGUCAUAAUACAAAUAAAUUAAUAUCUUAAAAAAUAACAAAUUAAAUAUCUUAAAUUAAUAAAUUAUACAAUUUUAUACCUUAUUUAUAUGUUAUAUAUAUAAAUUUAUUAUUUUAAAAUUAUUAAUAAAUAAAAUAUUCAUUUAUAAUAUCUUCUAUUUAUUAAUUUAUGUUUGUUGAAGUAAUAUUAGAUUCUUAAGUUUAAAUAUAAAUAAUUUAUUAUUAAAUUAUAGAUUUUUAAUUUCAAUAAUAAAUUAUAAUUUAGUAGUUUUUAAUUAAAUUUAAAGUAAAAAAAAAAUUAAAUGAAACCUGAAUUGGUAAUUGAAGUUUUAGUUCAAAAAUGAAGUUUCAGUUACCAAUUGAGAUUUCAGUUAAAAAUAAAGUUUCAAAUUGCGGUUUUAGUUCAAAAACUAAAGCCUCAAUUGAUAAUUACGGUUUUAGUUUAAAAAAGAAAUCUCCUCAAUUAUCAAUCUAGGUUUUUAUUAAAAGUUAAAAAAUAUAUAUAUUUAUAUGACAUGAAACUAAAGAUGCUAGUUCGAAUAUAAGCUGGAUAAAGUGGUUAGAUGUAAUAUAUUUUUUUUAAUAAAUGGGACAUUUUGACCCAAAACUCUUGAGCUGCAACCAGCCAUACCAAAGACACCCUGCACUAGCCGUCCGUAAUCCUCUACUGCAGCUUCGUUUUAGCUGCCCGAGGCGUCUCAAAUCAGCCCCAUCAAGUUGUCCACUCUCCCUGCUAUGAGCUUGGAAAUAAUCCAAGUCUUCCCAACCGGGAAGACUCUAGCUAGCUUCCAAUACGAAGACUCUAGCUAGCUUCCAAUACAUCAAUACUGAUUUUCUUGAGCUGCAUGUGAUGGUUCUUUUCAUAUUAUUAAUUAACGCCAUUGACUGGUCAUCUUCCCUGACAAUUCAUCAGUUAAAAUCACUGGUUUCAAGGGUACACCCAGCCACCAAUGCAAUAGCAAUACGGAGAAGACUGGGUCCAUGUGAGUAAUUGAUAGGCUUUUUUUUUUUUUUUGGUUUUGGUACGCAGAAAAAGAGGAGUUUUGGGUCAAAAUGCCGUAUAUUAAAAAAAAAAAAUAUUACAUCUAAUUAUUUUAUGAAACUUAUGUUCAAAUGCUUUGUAGGAAUCAUGUCAUAAAUUUUUUUUUUUUUAAAUUUUAGUAAAAGUCUCAAUUAAUAAUUAGGGUUUCAAUUUUGAAUUGAAAUUGUAAUUGUCAGUUGAGGCUUUGGUUUUUGAACUAAAGCUAUAGUUGUUAACUGAGACUUCAUUUUUUAACUGAAACCUCACUUGACAAAUACUUUAUUUUUAAACUAAAGCCUUAAUUGACAAUUAAGACUUUUUAUUUUAUUUUAAAAUUUAGGUAAAAGCUAUUAAAUUAUAGUUUAUUAUUGAAAUUAGAAAUAUAUAUUUUAAUAAUAAAUUAUUUAUAUUUAAGCUUAAGAAUCUAGCAUUAUUUUAAUAAACAUAAAUUGAUAGAUAGAAGAUAUUAUAAAUGAAUAUUUUAUUUAUUAAUAAAUUAAUAAUAUUAAAAUAAUAAAUUUAUAUAACAUAUAAAUAAGAUAUAAAAUUGUAUAAUUUAUUAAUUUAAGAUAUUAAUUUGUUGUUUUUUUAAAGAUAUUAAUUUAUUUGUAUUAUGUCAAAUUUAUUCAUAGGUUCUCUCCUUGUGGAGGCAUAUUAUGUUAUAUAUGUUUUUUUUUUAGCAUAUAAAUGUUUAGUGAAUAUUUUUUAUGACUUUGAAAAAACUACUAAAAAUCAUAUUUUUUAGUAGACUUUUUCUAACUAAUUUUGUCAAAAAGUCUAUAUAUAGAAACUUAAGAGUAUACUAUUAUUUCAAUAAAGAUAAAUUUUUCAUAAUACAAAUAAAUUAUUAUCUUAAAAAACAACAAAUUAAAUAUCUUAAAUUAAUAAAUUUUAAAAUUUUAUAUCUUAUUUGUAUGUCAUAUAAAUUUAUCAUUUUAAGAUUAUUAAUUUAUUGGUAAAUAAAAUAUUCAUUUAUUGUAUUGUAUUUAUCAAUUUAUGUUUAUUGAAAUAAUACUAGAUUUUUAAGUUUAAAUAUAAAUAAUUUAUUAUUAAAAUAUAUAUUUUUAAUUUCAAUAAUAAGUUGUAAUUUAAUAGUUUUUAAUUAAAUUUGAAAGUAAAAAAAAAGCCUCAGUUAACAACUACGGCUUAGGAGUAUACUAUUAUUUCGAUAAAGAUAAAUUUAUCAUAAUACAAAUAAAUUAAUACCUUAAAAAAUAACAAAUUAAAUAUCUUAAAUUAAUAAAUUAUAUAAUUUUAUAUAUUAUUUAUGUGUUAUAUAAAUUUAUUAUUUUAAAAUUAUUAAUUUAUUAAUAAAUAAAAUAUUUAUUUAUAAUAUCUUUUAUUUAUCAAUUUAUGUUUGUUGAAGUAAUACUAGAUUCUUAAGUUUAAAUAUAAAUAAUUUAUUAUUAAAGCAUAGAUUUUUAAUUUCAAUAAUAAAUUAUAAAUUAAUAGUUUUUAAUUAAAUUUUAAAAAAAAAAAAUUGAAGCCUCAGUUGAUAAUUGAGACUUUAAUUCAAAAAUAAAGGCUUCAGUUAAAAAAUAAAGUCUCAAUUGAUUAUUUCGAUUUUAGUUUAAAAACUAAACCUCAAUUGAUAUUUACGGUUUUAAUUUAAAAAUGAAACAUCAGUUACUAAUUGAGACUUUCAUUAAAAUUUUGAAAAAAAAUAUAAUUCUAUGAUACUACUUCUACGUGACAUCAAAAAAGUUGUUUGAAAAUAAAGUGGUUAAAUCUAUUUUAUUUUUUAUCCUGGGCCAUUUUGACCCAAAACUCGAAAAAGAGAGUCGGCAAUUUAUUUGUAUGGCCCACACGAAAUUGAUGAAUCCAUCGCCUUAGAAAUAUGACAUCCAUCAAACUCAGGCAAUCUCCACCGCAUGAAUUUUAAAAGCCACAGCAAUUGGGGAUAUUCUACCGUGGAAGAUGGCAUCAUUUUACAUUCUACUGAGGCCAAUAUCUAUGCUUCGUGGUUCUCUGGAACCAAUCAUGUAUUGCCUUGAACCCUUGAGAGAGAACAUGUGAUAUGCCCACGUCUUUUUAUUUACGCACAUUCCUACUACUUUUCUUUGUUUUUAUUGUAUAAGGUUGGAGGGUGGUCUAUGUAUUGACUCGGUAUGUAUGCUUGACUACAAACUCGAUGGUAGUUCAUAUGAGUGGAUCCUAAUAUUGUUGCAGCAAUUUGCCGAUUUCAGAGAAAAGAGAGAGAGAGAUAAUGGUCGACCCAGAAAUAACUGGAGGGAUUGCAGCGAGUACUUUGAGCUUUCUUCUAGUAAAACUCGAUGCUUUUGCAAUUAGAGAAUGGAAAUUGCAGGAAAAUAUCAAAAAGUCUGUCCAAAAUUUAGGAUGCGAGCUGAGGAACAUUCAGGCCAUGCUGAGAGAUGCUGAUUCAAAGGAAGAGCAUAGUCACCAAUUUACGGUCUGGAUUAAAGAGGUCCGCGAUCAAGCUUAUGCAAUCGAGGAUGCUCUUGACCUGUUCAAACUCAAACAAGAAUCAGUGUGGCGCCGCCUGAAACUGCGUCACUCCAUCAACGACUUGAUACAGGAUAUUGAGCGGAGUCUCCAAAACAUUCAGCGGACAAAGGAGAGGUAUCGCAGCAUGGCCUCCUAUUCAACCAAUGCUGGCAACAACACAUACCUUCAUGUGAGAGUGGCUCCUUUGUUCAUAGGUAACGUUGAUACCGUGGGCAUUGAGGAGCCUACAAAUAAGCUGGUUUCCUGGGCCUUGGAACCGAAACAGAGGCUUGAGGUGAUGUUUGUGGUGGGGAUGGCUGGACUGGGGAAGACCACUCUUGUCCACAGCGUGUAUGAGAGCGUGAAACAGAACUUUGAUUGCCAUAUCUGGAUCACUGCUUCAAAGUCCAAAACCAAACUCGAUAUCUUACGGACCUUGUUGGUGGAGAAAUUCGGCUGUACAAUCACACAGGGGGGCGAUGUGGUUGCUCUGACGCAUAAGCUGAGAAAAUUUCUCCACAACAAACGGUAUGUCAUAGUUCUUGAUGACUUAUGGGUAAAAGAUGUUUGGGAGUCCAUUAGACUUGCCUUGCCAAAUGGUAAGGACAGUAGAAUAAUUAUCACUACAAGGAGAGGCGAUAUAGCUAAUUCUUGGAGAGAUGAUGAUUCUGUUGAUAUCCACAUGCUUCAGCCACUGUCACCGGAAAGGGCUGAGAAACUCUUCUAUAAGAAAGCUUUCUCAAGAAAUGGCAGAUGUCCUUCAGGCUUGGAGGAAGUCUCGAAAUCCAUCUUACAGAAAUGUGAUGGAUUACCACUUGGGAUUAUUGAAAUCGGUAGACUUUUAUCCAUCAAGGCUCCAACUAAAAAUGAGUGGAAAAUAUUACAUGAUAGCCUUGAGUCUGAAUUGAGAGGCAGUGGUGGCCUUUCAAAUAUUACGAAAGUGCUGUCUGCAAGUUAUAAUGAUUUACCUUUCCAUCUCAAGUAUUGUUUCUUGUACAUGAGCAUCUUUCCUGAGACUAGCCCAGUUAAGCGAAGAAGGCUAAUUCGGCUAUGGAUAGCUGAAGGGUUUGUAAUAGAGAAAGGAGGCAAGACAUCUGAAGAGGUUGGGGAAGAGUAUCUGAAUGAGCUGAUUGACAGGAGUCUGAUAAAGGUAAAUGAAAUGGAUUUUGAAGGAAGGCCAAAAAGUGUGGGAGUUCAUAGUCUGAUGCUGAAGAUGAUUCUCUCAGGUGGUGUUUGUUUUUUUGGCUUUUUGCUGAAAACCAUUUAGUUUUAGAAUUUAGGUUGUUUGUUUUUUUACUUUUUCAUGACUUAUUAUAAACUUUUUACUAAAUAGAAAAAGCUAAAAUAUGUGGCUUUUUCUAAAUAGAAAAAAUAACACAAUGAUUUUUUUUACUUUUUAAUACUUAAUAGAAAUAAAAUACUACAAAAACAAACAACCUAAUAUUUAAGACUAUUAAGUAUUAAGGUUCUAUUUAGAAUUAAGUAAAAAAACAAACACCACCUCAGUCUCACGAGAGGAGAACUUUUGUUCUGUUUGUACAGGAUCAGAAAGGAACUUGAGUGAGAAAACCCGGCGCCUAUCUAUUCAGAAGGAAGAUUUUGAUGUGUCUCAGGACUUACCCUGUGUUCGAACCUUCUUCAGUUUCGGUAUAGGCAAAGUAAAGAUUGGUUCCAACUUCAAACUAUUGAAGGUCUUGGACAUACAGGGCACUCCUUUGGAAGAAUUUCCGGGUGUAAUUAAAGAUCUUCUGCUCUUGAGGUACUUGAGUUUGAGGAAUACAAAUAUAAGGAGCAUUCCAGGGACCCUGGGUGACCUUCAUCACCUUGAGACCUUGGAUCUUAAGCAGACUCUGGUAACAAAAGUACCCAAAGCAGUCCUACAACUUGAGAAACUUCGCCAUUUGCUGGUUUAUCGCUACAAUAUGGAAAGUGCCCUACCUUUUGAUAUUGUGCAGGGGUUCAAGGCACCAAAGAGGAUCGGCGCAUUGAAGAACCUACAAAAGCUGUCAUUUGUAAAGGUGAGUGGGCAGCACAGAAUGAGUCGGGAGCACAGAAUGAUACAAGGGCUCGACAAUCUUACGCAGUUGAGGAAGCUGGGCAUUGUAGAACUAGCAAAAGAACGUGGGGCGAGCUUGUGCCUCUCAAUUGAAAAGAUGCCAAAUCUCCACUCCUUGAAUGUAACCUCUCUUAAUAAGGAGGAGCCUCUGGAGCUUGAUGCAAUGACCAAUCCACCGCCCCUUCUUCAACGCUUGUACCUCAAAGGGCCCUUGAAUAGGUUUCCACAGUGGGCAACUUCUCUACAUGACCUGGAGAGAAUACGCCUAAAAUGGUCUUCACUCACAGAAAACCCGAUUGCAGCUCUUCAAAACCUCCCAAAUCUGACAGAGUUGCAGUUGCUUGAUGCAUAUACUGGAACCCAGUUGGACUUCAACUCCGGAAAAUUUCCGAAGCUGAAGAUAUUAGACCUUCAGCAAUUGGAACAGGUGAGGUCUAUCAUGAUGGAAGAAGGCACAUUGCCUUGCCUACAGAAGCUGAUCAUAAGCCACUGCAGCAGGCUGGUGCAGGUCCCUAGAGGUAUUGACAAGCUCAUUCACCUCCAAAUGCUGCUGUUGUACGAUAUGCCCGGAACAUUUGUGACCGGGCUGAGGAAAAACGGUGGUCAAUUUCGCCGUUUGGUUCACCAUAUUCCAUGUAUUCAUUCAUAUAACCAGGCCCAGUUGGAAGAUCUUUCUUGAUCAUUAUACAUCUACGAGGAAGAAUCAGGUCUGUAGAACAACCUGAAUUCAUCGUUUCCUUCUUCUAGAUUCCCCAAAACGUACUGUUGGAUUGCUAUUUCUUUUCUAGGAUUACUGCAUUUUCCUAGGAAACUAUGUAUGGUGCAAUUGAGUAUGAAAUUAUGUCCUCAAUCAAAGGUAUCAUUUUACUAUUAUUUUACAAAGGUAUCAUUUUAUUUAUACGAUGAAGACAUUUGAUUAUACAUAUUUACUUUUUUCUAAAAUUUUAUUUAUUUUUAGUGUUUUUUUAUUUUUUAUUUUUAGCUUUCCAAGUAAUAUGCUCAGCAUAAAAUUCCAUAUUGAUCUAAAAUGAGCCUGAUGGGUCUAUAUAAAGAUCUCUCAUGUAAAAGAUCAAUUUACAAGGAAUACUGGUUAUGUUUGAAAGUAGUUUUAUAUUCUUUAAAAAUAUAAAACAGUUUUUUUAACUUAAAAAACGCUUUCAUCUUGAUUUGAUAUAGCAUGAUGGGUUUAUCUAAAGAUCUUUCGAGUCAAACAUCAAUUAGAAGGAAUAUCGGUCAUGUUUGAAAAUAGUUUUAUAUUCUUUUAAGAAGAUAAGUUAAACAGUUUUUUAACCUAAAAACUAUGAUUGAAAAUUUUCAGGAAUUUGUAGAGUUUGUUUAAAAAAUAAUUUGUUUUUUUUAUAUCUUUAAGAAUUCUUUUCAAAAAAAAAAAUCUCUAAAUCUUAAAACAUCCCUCUAGCUUAAAGAUGACUUUUAGAAAAUUUUACAACUUUUCCUAAUAAAGUCUAGUUCAGAACAUCCAGAAGAGUUAUAUGUAUUCUUCAUAAUCAAAAGAUGUCCGAGAAUCACUUUUAAUAUAAAAAACGUUUUUCUAAAAAAAUAAAAUGUUUCACAAAAUUCAAAAAUCAUUUUUAAAAAAUUGAAGAAUUGUUUAGAGUGUUUUUUUUUUUAAAUUUUUUAUAAAUGUUUAAUAAGUGAUUCUCCUAAAAACUCUUUAAAAAAAACAUUUAAGUAAAAAUUCUUCUGAUAAAAAUAUUAUCAAACAUACUCUAAUUCCUUAUGCUUGAAGCUUCCAAUGCAAUUCAUUGAAAGUAUUUUCCAUAUGACUUCUCCACAAAAUAUUUCUUUAAACUUAAAACUAAAAGUCAUAUUUUUAAAAAAAGAAAAAUAAAUUCUUGACAUGUAUAGGAUAUGAGAUUUUUGUUCUAACACUAGGUUAAAGUUAAGAAUGCAAAAAAAAAAACCUGACCAUUAAGUCAAAUUUAAAUCUUGAUUAAAAAAAAACCAUUAAAAUAAAUUUGCUCUACUUUGUCUCCACCCUCUUACAUUUCUUCCACCCUCUCCCCCAUCCUAUAGAUGUACCACUGUAGUAUUUUUGGAGAGGUUAACUUGCAAAGUAAGGAAAGCUUUUUUUUAAAGGACACUUCUCCACUUGUUUGUCCAAUCGGGAUAGAAACAUAAAAUUUGCUACCAAUGAUGAAGAAAAGUAAACAGAGUGUAAGAAAACAUUUCAUGUUUAAUCUAAAAAUUACAAUCCCAACAAAAAUAUAAAAAAUCAUGUCAAUCUGGUCAAUGGAAAAGGAAACAUAGAAGAACUUAUGAUGAUUCAGUUCUUCUAUAUGAUUCAGUUCUUCUAUGUUCUGCGUGUUAGUAUUGAUGUGAAUGACACGUCUAUAAAAUCUUAGCUACUUUAUAGAGAGAUUUGUUUAUACUAUCAUUUCAAUUUUUUAUUUUUGCAUAUUACAUUUUAUUGGGUAUUGAGUAUUGUUGUGAUGUUAUAGUAUUAGCAAUAUGUUAUUAUUUCAUAAUUAUACUUUUCUAUUUUGAAUAGUUUUAUAUUAAUUUAGCUUCAAUUUUUAUGAUAAUGGAGAUGAAGAAUAAUGAACAAUAUUAAAGAGAAUAUUAGCAACAUCCAACUAUAAGAACUAACUUGAGCAUUACAAGCAUUGUCCCCACUUGUCUUCACCUUUUAAAAAAGGUUAGAUUUUCAAGAAUCUCAACCCAAUAAUUAUGUUUUUUAGGUUGGGUAGCAAAAGUCAUACGGAGAGAGAAAAGUGAUAAAAAAAAGUUCACCAAUCAAAUGGAAAUAGAUUGUUAUUAUUACUGGAUUAACUUGGUCAUUAGAUUUAAAAUAGUACAUAAUAUCAUUGUGGAAUUUGCAUGCUUGGAAGGAAGAAGUCUUGUUCUUUCCAAAGGAAUUAAUGGGAGACAGGGCAAAAUGCCUGUAAGGAAAUGAUAGUAACUUUUGAAAAAGUGGGCUAUAAAGUAAAGGAGAAUUGUGAAAAAUUAAUAUUUGGUCCAUAUAAUUUUCAUAAUUGAUAGAAAUGAUAUAAGAUGUUAAAAGACCAACAUAUCUUUCAAAUUUCUAUACAUUACCUUUUUAAUUUCUAAAGUUUUACUAAAAAAUUGUACUGACAAUUUUCUUGUUAUGAAUUAAAAUACUUUGCAUUAGUCUAUCUGGAUAAGAAAAAUUAUUAAUAUAAUAUUAAAACUUCAUAUCUUAGUUAUUUUUUUCAAUAAAUUUAUCUUUUUGGAUAUAUAUAUAUAUAAUAGAGUAAAGUGAUAGUCAAUUUUAAAAUUUUUAAAAAUAUGGUUAAUGUAGAAAAUAUAAAAAAUAUUUCAAUGAAAAAUCCCAAAAUUUUUAUCAUUGCUUAUAAUAAGAGCAAAAAGAUUCAAUAUCUUUAAAAAUGAAAAACAAAAAAAACAUUAUUACUUUUUAUUUGACAUAAAAUAGAAAUAUAGAUUGGAAGAAAAAAAAAUUAGAAAUGAGUAAUACUUAAUAGAGAAUAGAAAAGGGAAAAAAAAACACAAAAAAAUUGAAAUUCAGACUUACUUGUACCUAUAUAAGGGUUAAGGGUAUUUUAGGGAUUAAUGAAGAAUAAUAUCUUUUAUCUUAAUUUUCAUACUUUGUUUGGGUCUUGGGCUUAAAUAUGCAUGAUAUAUGGACCAAAUGUUAAUUUUUGGGCCCAACUGGACCCAAAACACAAUUCUCCCAUAAAGUAACGUGAAUUUGAAAUAAUUGAUUUGGAAUCCUAUCACCUAGAAAAUGAUUACUCCUUGGGUUAUAAAUUAAAAUGAAUUUGAAAAAAUUCAUUGGAUUCUCAUUACUUUUUUAAAAGGCUGAAUUUGAGUUGACCCAAAAUAAUUUACUUCCAUCAAAAGUAAAUUAUAAGAAUAAAGGCAAGAAAAAAGAAAAUUGGUAUGCACCAUUUAUCUUUUUACUUUGGAUUGGAUAAAUUUUGUAAAAUCAUAUUUUCCUUUUACUAUAUUUUGUAAUGUUAAUAGCAACUAACUUUCAAAAUAAUGGAAAUUAAUUUGUAUAUAAGCUUAUUUGAGUACUUCCAUAUUUUUUUUAUAAUUGAGAAUUUUUUAAAGAUUUUUUUUAAGUAUUAGCUUUUAUAUUUAUUAUUAUUAUUUUUCAUAAAAUAAUAAAUUGUAAGAAAAGAGGAGAAGAACAAGAAGGAAAAUUUAUAAUUUUUUAAUUUAUUUAGAUAUUUAUAAAAAAUAAGAAAAAGAAAAUUAAAUUGUUGAAGCUUCCCAAGCUUUUUGACUGUUAUCUAACAAAUAAUAAUAAUAAUAAUAAUAAGGAACUUCCUUAAAGCAAUGUUAUCAAAAAAUAGAAUCACAUUAGUUAAGCUCAUUUUUUUCUAAUAUAAUAAUAGCAAUUAUAGUUACUUUUUUUUUUUUUUAUUCAACUUAUUUUAAAUAGGGCGUGUGCUUAUGCAAUUAUAUUUAUUUAUUUUUCUAGAAAGAUUAAUAUAUUUAUUUAUUUGUUUAUUGUGGUUAUCUCAAAAUGAUGUCUUAUUUUCUAUUUAAAUAUUGGUAUAUAUGAAAGAUAAAGUUUAAGUAUUCAUUAAUUACGAAUUCAAUUCAACUUACUCCAAUCCAAAUUUUACCCAUAUAACCCAAAAAGCUUGUCUAAUAUGUUAGACCCGUCCAAAUUAUAGUCUUAAUUUUAAAGUCAUAUUGAUUGGUUCAUCCGUUUAUAAAAACAUAGUUAAAUAAAAUUACUUGAAAAUGAAAUUAGUAUUUAGGGCAUUGUAUCAUAAACUUGUACAAAAAAUCCUUCUGAGAAUUAGAUUUUGGUACAGUUAGAUUUUGAAGAGUUUCAAGCCAAUCAAUUUUUUUACUUUUUAUUUUUGAAAGUAGGGUAGAUUGGAAUUUUGUUAUUUUUCAUUAAAAAAACUAAAAAGGCAAAGUGAAUGCAAUACAUUAAAAAAAAAAAAAAAACUUAAUCCUAAUUAUGAAAUCUAAACCUAAUAUUUAUUUAUUUGAAAUGGGUUAGGCGUUGGUGAAUAAUUGAACAUCAUGUGAAGGUUUUUAAUUCAACAUGUAGUGAUAUUGUCAUUUGCCCCCUUCUUUUCUAACAAAAUAAUUUGAUGGAGUUUAAUCCCGAUUAUGCUCGUUAGUAAUCUUAUAAUAUCUCAUAUUUGUGAUCAAAACAUAAAUAUUCAUAUUCAAAGUUUGUAUGAUACGAGAAAAUGAGAAGAAUUAUGGAGACAUGUUUUAAAGUUAGGAACCAAAAAAGAGUAAUUUGAAUUUGUAUUCUUGCUUUUCGUAAUAAUCAAUCCAUGCAUUGAACUCAUGUGUUCAAGAUUAAACUAAUCUAACCCUAUGUCCAAUCCAAACUAUCCGAUCCAAGCUCAACUUCUUAUCAUUCCCAUGACACUCAAAAGCAACAAUAUCAUAUACAAAUAAAUUGAAAUUUAUGUAAAAUAUAUAUCACGUUCAAAUUGGCCUUAGGUUGUCCAAAACCCAAACCCAAAGCCCAGUUUAAUUUAAUUAGAGCAAUAAUAAAAUAAUUCCAAUAAUUACAAUUAAUUUAUAGCAAUUAAAUAAAAAUUUCACAGGAGUAAAAAUUAUUUCCAAUAAAUAUAUUAUAAAGUCAUGUAAAAGUUGCUAGUUACCCCUCUAGUAAAAAGUAUACAUUUAUUUAUCCCACUUUAAAAAAAAUGAUAGUAGUGAAAUCCAUGAACAAAAUUUAAUUAUCAUAUUCUUAAAAAGCACCCAAGAUCCCAAACCAUGAAUUAUAUUUAGGGAUGAUAAUAGGGUGGGUUUAAGACGAGUCGCCCCAUCCCAACCCCGUCCCAUUUAUUUAAAAUAAUUUUCAUCCCCGUCUCAUUUAAAAAAUUAAAUUGGACAGGGCGGGCCGGGAUGGGUAUAAGCAACUCCCUGCCCCGCCUUCGUUUAAUUUUUUUUUUUAAAUUACUUUUAAUAUUUUAAUUACAUUAAAGUAAAUAUAUUUUAUAAAUAAUUAAAUUAUUACAUUUUUUAUGACUUAUUUUAUUAAAAAAUACUUUAUUAUUAUCUAUAGUAGAAUAAAAAUUAAUUUAAUUUAAUUUUAAAAAAUAAUUUUAUAUACAAUUGUAGGGUGGGAUUGGACAAGGCAAUACCUGAACUCAUCCCAAACUCAUCUUGGGUUUAAAAAAAAAAUUUCAAAUCCGUUUAGUUAAAAUUCAAACAUGUUCCAUUAGGGGCAGGAUGGGUACUCGAAAAACCCGUCCCAUUGUCAUUCCUAAUUAUAUUACACCUCUGUGAUCAAAUAAAUAAAAAGAUACGUUUAAUCACAUAUUUAAUUAAUUUUUUAAAAAUAAAAGAAGUUGGGUCGUUGGACCAAAGCACAAAAGUGAGAAGCGCAUAUCUGAGCCCAUUAAAUUUGGGCUUUAACAUUGCCAGUAUGUUAGCCUACAACAAAUUCAAACUCCAAACUCCAAACUCCACCGUCAGAUCCCCAGGCACCAUCUAUGCGUAUCUCUCCCUCUAAACAAUCUCCUCCAUUUUCACGCCAUGCAUAAAGCAACAAUCCCGAGAGAAAAUAGUCUCUCAUUGCUAUAUAUAUUGUCGGAGACUGAUUUUCUUGCCUAAUUUGGAUUUUAAAAUUUCAUGCAUCUCAUUUUGAUCACAAACCUGAGAAAAGCCCCAUAUAAAAAUAACACAAGUAUUACAAAAUAAAUAAGUAUUAAAAAAAAAAAAAGAAUUAUGAACAAAUCUCAAUAUCAAAUAUGAACAACAAACACUAGAUUUAGUGGUUCACAAUAAUUUUAGGUAUGUACGUCAACAUAAGAACGAUAAAGUACAACAAACUAGAGGAGUAGAAUAGAAUACUCAUUUUUCAUCCAAAAUGAUUCCAUCAAAGUAACAAAUUAUGCCAACCUUAUCAUUGAAGAAACCUAAAAGAACAAGUACUAGAAAGGUUGUGAGGAGAUUUGAGCAAUAAUUGUAGUGAACGAAAGUUGAUACUAGAUUUGAAUUCUACUUCUAUUUAAAAGCUAAAUGCACUUCCAUGGCAUGCAAAGAGAUUCCAAAAGCUUUAAAUAAACUGAAUGGUUCUUUGAAGCAUGAUUGAAGCUUCUAAAAGUGUCAAAAAUAGAGAUUCACAAAGAAUUUUGAAUUCAUUCUUCCUUUCUUAAUCAAACCCUCUCUAGGUCCAUAAGUUGUACUAAAGAGCUUUUGAAUGUCAACAAUGAAUGACAAGGUUAUGAAAUAUGAGGUUAUCUUCCACUAAAAAUCAUUCCAAGGAUAGUUUGAUUAAACUUGAUCCACACCUAUAAUGCCCCUAUAAAAAAAAAAAAAAAAUAGAAUUGAGUCAGUUUAAGAAUGAUAGCUCCUAUAUUGACAUGUAAACGGUACCAUAAAAACACUCGUAACACACCUUUCAUGCACAUCUUGAACAUGUAGAUCAAUCAUCCAAGAUUGGCUUCUCCCACUAUUUCAAACUAUUGAAGGUUUUGGACAUACAAAGCACUCCUUUAGGAAACUUUACAAGUGCCAUCAUAGAUCUUCUGCUCUUGAGAUACUUGAGUUUGAGGAAUACAAAUAUAAGGAGCAUCCCCAAAUCCCUCAGGAACCUACGGCACCUUGAGACCUUGGAUCUUAAGCAAACUCUGGUAAAAGAGCUACCCAAAGCAGUCUACAACUUGAUAAACUUCGCCACUUGCUGGUUUAUGCCUACAAUAUGGGAAGUGUUGUAACUUUUGACGCCGUUUAAGGGUUCGCUGUACCGAGAAAGAUCGGAGCAAUGAAGAACCUGCAAAAGCUAUCAUUUGUAAAGGCGAGAAGGCAGAACAGAAUGAUACAGGAGCUCAAAAAUCUGACAAAGCUGAGGAAGCUGGGCAUUGUAGAACUAGCAGAAGAAGAUGGCAACAGCUUGUGUCACUCAAUUGAGAAGAUGCCGGAUCUCCUUUCCUUGGAUGUUACCUCCCUUAGUAAGGGGGAGCCUCUGGAGCUUGAUCCAAUGGCCAACCCCCGCGUCUUCUUCAACGCCUGUAUCUCAAAGGGCACUUGCAAAGGUUGCAAAGUGGGUAUCUUCUCUUCAUGACCUGGUGAGAAUACGCCUAAAAUGGUCCUUAUUGUCCCAAGACAACCCAAUUGAAGCUCCUCAAGAUCUCCCAAACCUGAUGGAGCUGCAGUUACUUGAUGCAUACACUGGAACCCAGUUGGACUUCAACUCGGGAAAAUUUCAGAAGCUUAAGAUAUUAGACCUUGAGCAAUUGAAACAGCUGAGGUUUAUCAUAAUGGAAGAUGGCACAUUGCCUUGCCUACAAAAGCUGAUCAUAAGGCAAUGCAAUGAGCUGAAACAUGUCCCCGUAGGUAUUGACGGGCUCCAUCAUCUUAAUGAGCUGCACCUCUGCGAUAUGCCUGAGAAAUUCGUGGCCCAGCUGAAGAAAAGAGGCGGUGAACUUCGCCAUUUGCUUCACCGUUGUUUGCAUAUUCUCUCAUAUCAACAGGGCCGGUUGGUGGAAGAUCUUUCAUGACCAUAUCUGAUACAUCUGUGACAUGCACCAGUGGAUCAAGAAUCAGGUUUGUAUAACUACAUGGAUUCAUCGCUUGCUUCUUUUGGGUUCCUCAAAAUGCAUUGUUGUCAAUUACUUUACAAGCAAUAUUACUGCAUGUUCCUAGGAAAUCAUGGUGGGAUAUCUAGCAUUUAUACAUAUCAAGCAUCAAAUAUCUGUGGAGUCGUAUUUGAAACUGCCAUUGUUGAAACUACCCCGAGACUCGGUACAAGACAUAGUCGGAUUAUGGUCAGGUGUCAAGCCCCCGAGACUUCCAAUUGAUUUUUAUGCUUCUUGUAUUAAUAAUAGUGUUGGAUUGUAAGGACUGAAUUGUUUUUAUUGUGUUUGGCUUAAAAUGUCGGGAUCAAGUUCCACGUUAAGCUUGUGGGGAUAGCCAUGGACGUAGAAAACGAAUUGAUUAUCAAACCACUCUAAAAAUCUCCUCCUUCUUUUUUAUUUUAUUUUAUUUUUAUUUUUAUUUUUAUUUUCUAUUUGUGUAUGGUUUAAUUAAUUAACAAAUAAUGGCCCUAUGCCUACGUGAAAUUGACUUGUGAAUUUUUAAUAUUAUGUUUUUAUGAUUAUUUUAGAUGAUACUAAAUAUAAUAGUGAUUUGCUUUAAUUUUUAGUUUGUUGAAUGCAUUCUCAUCCAAUUGUAUUUAUAUAUUUUCUCUAAAAUUUUUAUUAUUUUAAAAUUAUUCUAUACUUUUUUAAUUAAUCAAGCAGUUUAUUGUGCCUACAGUCUGGUCUAAUUGAAUAAAAUAUGAUUUAUUAAUGUCAACUCAGCCCAAUCAAUUCUUUCACAGAGGAACAAUGGUUUAUUAAUGUGCAAAUUAAUAGCGUUUUAUAAAUAAAAUAUUCUUAAUUUCCUCUACAAAAACAAAUUAGUGUUAAAUAAACCGAUAAUAAUAUUUUUAUUGGGAUUUUUCAAUGGCAUUAUAAAGUCACCAAUCAAUUAAUAAAAAAUGGUCAUUGAAGUCACCAUGAUUUAUUUAUUUAUUUAUUUUUACCUCGAUAAUGAUCUUAAUUAUCGUUUUUUCUGGAUUAUUUGAGUAUUAAAUUUUUUACAAAAGUAACUUUUAAUCUUUUUUUUUACUUGAAAAUUUUUAUUAAAAAAAAUUCUAUAUAGGGCAUAUAAUUAAGAUUAGGUUUAUUAAUAAAUGAAAUGUUUUUCUUAGCUGCAAUCAUGUUGACCCAUAAAUUUGUAUGAGAAAAUUUGAAUUUCUUUAUUUUCUUUUACAUGACCCAAAGGUUAAUAUAAAUUGUCUUGAAGUAGCAGUAAAGUGAUCAUUUUAAGUACCACAAAUACUUGUGAUUUGGAAAUAAUCAAAGUCUUCCCAAUGGGGACGACCCUAGGUUCCAAUACAUUAGCACUGAUUUCUUUGAGUUGUAUAUGAUGCUUCUUUUCAUGUUAUUUACGACAUUGACUACGGGAAUCCCUUGCACACGCAAGUGGCAUUCAUUAAAAGUUAAGACCACUACUUUCAAGGUCCUAUGUCCAGCUUCUGAGUAACAACAGUAUGAUUGAGUUCAACAACAAAUUUGAGAAUUUUUUUUUUAACCCAAAGUGGGUUUGGGUACAAUGUUGUCCCAUCGAAAUGAUAAAAAUAUCGAUAAUAACGGAUAUAUUAGUAUUUCGAUUUUAUAGAUAUAUUGAAGAUAUAUGUUGGAUAUUUAAAAAAAAAAUAUCGAUAGACUUAAAAUUGAUCAAAAUUCAUAAAAAUGUUAAAAAAAAUCACGUAUAAAUAUAAUUAAAAGUAUAACAAACAUUUUAAAAUUAUUUUAUUGAAAAAUUUAAUUUAUGUAUAAUAUGAUUUGUCAUAUUUGAUAAUAAUAUCAUAUGCGUCGAUAAAAAAAUAUGAAUUUUAUAAGUGUACAUUUAUUAUUAAAUUGCAUAAAAUAUUAUUGCAUAAUAAUAUUAUGAUAUUUGAUUAUAAUAUAUUUAAUUUUAAAAUAUAUUUAAUAUUAAAAUUGUGAUCCAUUUAAUUCAAUUAUAUUAAAUAAUAUAAAAUAAAUGAUGAUAUAUAUACCGUUGUGAUAUUUAAUAAUAAUUUUUAUAACUUGAAAACAUACUUUAUGUAUAUUAAUCUAAUUUGGAUGUAUUUAAUGACAAAAAAAUAAUGAUAAUUUGUAUAAGUAUUUUUUAUUUUAAAAUUUUGACAAUUUUAUUCAAAAAUAUAUAUUUAUUUUAUAUGUAAUUAUUAUAUAAAAGUCACAAUAACUAAAAUUAAUUCAUUUAGAAUAUUUUUUUUAUUAAUUUAUAAUAUAUAUGUAUAUAUUAUAAAUUAAUCUUGAAAGAUGGUUGUCCGGCAGGUGUUGGUGCCUUGGUGGGCGAUCUAUAUAAAUAAUAUGUAAAUUUAAUCAACAACAGCAUGGUUGCCUGGCUGGUGUUGGUGGGCGAGCGUGAGCCUGAGGGUCGUUCGAAUAUCCUUGGUUCCAUUCUUCUUGAUUUACCUUUGCCUUUCAAAAAUUCUAAUUCUUGCAAUCCCACAUCGGUUCAUGACACCAAAAAGGUGUAUUUAAACAUUGGAGUGGUGGAGGUCUCACUUGUGUUCAGAGCACGUUGGGCCCAAGCUGCAUUUUGGGCCUAAACAUUGGGCCAGGGCCAAAAUUAAGAGUUUUAGGGGCAAAAGGAAUUGAGAAUGAUGACGUGGCAGCGAUAUCGUGAAAAUAUCGAGAAAAAUGGCGAUUUUAAUGGAAAUAUCGCCGAUAUUUCCUCUAUAAGGUUAUAUUUAAUAUUAAAUAAAAAUGAUUUUAAUUAAUUUUUGACUUUUUUUAACAUAUAUAAAAUAUUAUUUUUUUAUAAAAAUAAAUUAUAAAUAUUUAUAAUAUUUAUUUAUUUGUAAACUAUAUUUAUUUUUAAUACAAUUUAAAAGUAAAAAAUUAAAAAAUAAAUAAAUAAACAGAUAUGGUGAAUAUGAUAAUCGUUGAUUUUCAUGAUUCUUAGUAAAAAUAAAAGAAAAUAAAAACGAAAAAAAGAAGAAGAAAAACAUAUAGAUUUAAUGUGUUCAAUAGAUUACGUACACGGAAUAGGGAAUAAAACUUUCAUUAUCUUUGAAAUUAGGGUUAUAUAUUAAAAUUUUAUUAUUAUCAUUAUCAUUUAUAUUUUAUUUUAUUUUUAAAUAAAUUUAUAUUUUUAAUAUUUUAAAAUAAAAACAUUCAAAUUAAAAAGAUAAAUAUAAAAAAUUUAAAAGUGAAGUAGUAAUUUUUUAGAAUGGAAUUAAUGAAAUAGAUUAUGAUUUUUUUAAUAUUUAUAUUUUUUAUAUUUAAUUAUCAUAUAAAUAAUAUAAAAAAGACUUAUUAAAAAAUUAUAAUAUUAAAAUUUUAUAUUUUUAUUAAUCAAUUAAAUAUAAUUUAAAAUAAAAUAAUUAAAAUUAAGUUUUUUUAAUGAUGAAGCUUAACAAAUUUAAAUUGAAUAUAUAUUAUCAAAGAGCAUCAUAAUGGUAAAUAUUCGAUAUUUCCCAUAGUGAUUUAAUCCAAAUAAAGAAGGAUAAUUAAUAAUUAUUUAUAUAGAGAGAGGAAAAUUGUUUCAUGAUUUGUUUUUUUUUUUUUUAUCUCUACUAAAUAUAAAAAUCAACCCAAUUCUCUCACUCGGGAAGGCCCUAUUUUCCUCUGCCACUGUCAAUCCUCGCAGGUACUAAUCUAAUCAUGUUAUUAUUAUUAUUAUUAUUAUUAUUAUUAUUAUUAUUUUUGCAACCCCGUUUGAUCCCCAAGAAAAUCCAUCCCCCAUUCGAUUUCCGGGAAAAUUCAUCCUCGUUUGAUUUCCGAGAAAAUCCAUGCAAAACCCCCCAAAGAAAUCCAAAAAAAUUGCUUUUUCUUUGCUCCCUGUGUUUUCUGGAUCUGUUCUAGGGGUCUCUUUGCUUUUGUGCCAUUGGAUUUAAAUUUCACGAAGCCUAAAUCCACGAUUUUUGAGCCAGACUGAAAAAAACAACCUUUGCCUGCAAAUCCACGAUUUAAGAGUUAUAUUUAGUAUUUUUGCAGUCAGUGAAUGUGCCGCCACAUGUUUGAAUGAUUGGAACUUCAAAAACCAGUAACUUGUUUUUGCCAAAGCAAAGGAUUGAAUAUUUCCUUGGUGGAUUUUUGGGAACUGAUCAUGCACCCACAAGAAAUCUCCAUCAAGCAUGAAGUUGUCUUAUUCGAAGGUUGACCCUUGGUGCAUGGGGUCAUUCAAUAAGGUUAAUAAAUUGUCUGGAGGGAGCAGUAAAUGAUAACAUAUAGCCGUGUGCUUGGAAAUAUUCGAAGUCUUCCCAAUGGGGAAGACUCUAGGAUCCAAUACAAUCCUGGUUUUCUUGAUUUAUAUCUAAUGCUUGUGGUUGUAUUAUUUGUGUCAUUGACUCCUGAAGUCUUUUGGAAGUAUACUUGGAUGUGGCAUUCAUCAGUAGUUAAAAUCAUUGUUUUCAGGGCCCCUACGCCAAGCUCCCAAGCAACAGCAAGGUGAAGAGAAAGAGCAUGAACCCAGAUCUAGCUGGAGGGAUGGCAGACGGGGCUGUGUCGUUUCUUCUUCAAAAACUUGAAGCUUUUGCAAGUACAGAAUGGAACUUGCAGGAAAAUAUCAGGAAUGGAGUCCGUGAGUUACAAAGGGAGCUGUGGAGAAUAGAAGCCAUGAUGAGAGAUGCUGAUGCAAAGAAAGAUUAUGAUAACCAAUUCAACGUGUGGAUUCAAGAAGUUCGCACAGAAGCUUAUGCCAUUGAGGAUGUUCUUGACCUGUUCAGACUCCACUGGGAUCAAGAAUCAGUGUGGCGCCACUUGAAAAUGUGGCACUCCAUUAGCAACCUGAUACAGGAUAUUAACACAAGGCUCGCGAUCAUUAAGCAGACAAAGGAGAGGUACCAGAUCAUUAAGGAGAUAAAUGAGAGGUAUCCGAUGAUGGUCCCCACCAAUUCAGUUAGUUCGGAAACCAACACAUACCAUAAUGUGAGAGCAGCUCCUUUGAUCCUCGGCUGGGGCAAUAACACCAUGGGCAUUGAUGAGCCUAAAAGGAAGCUGGUUUCUUGGGCAUCAAAGUCGAAUCAGAAACUCAAGGUUAUGUUCCUAGUGGGGAUGGCUGGGUUGGGCAAGACAACGCUUGCCUACCGCGUGUACGAGGAGGUGAAGGAGCACUUUGAUUGCCAUGCCUGGAUCAUUGCUUCAAAGUACCAAACCAUAGAUGAAACCUUACGGAGCUUGUUGGAGGAACUUGGCUCUUCAACAGAGGGGUCCGGCAUAGUUCUUCUCAUGCAGAGACUGCACAAUUUUCUCCAGCACAAACGGUAUGUUAUAGUUGUUGACAAUUUAUUGGUAAAAGAUGUGUGGGAAUCCAUUAGACUUGCCUUGCCAGAUGGUAACGACAAUAGAAUAAUUAUCACUACAAGAAGAGGCGAUAUAGCUAAUUCUUGCAGAGAUGAUUCUAUUGAUAUCCACAAGGUUCAGCCACUGUCACUGCAAUGGGCUGAGCAACUCUUCUAUAAGAAAGCUUUCUUAGGAGAUGGCAGCUGUCCUUCAGGCUUGGAGGAAGUCUCGAAAUCCAUCUUACAGAAAUGUGAUGGAUUACCACUUGGGAUUAUUGAAAUCGGUAGGGUCUUGCGGAGUAAGCCUCGUCAAACUAAAUACGAGUGGAAAAAAUUACAUGAUAGCCUUGAGUCUGAAUUGAGAAGCGGUGGUGCCCUUUCAGAUAUUAUGAGAGUGUUUUCUGCAAGUUACAAGGAUUUACCUUACCAUCUCAAGUAUUGCUUCUUAUACAUGAGUAUUUUUCCUGAGAAUAAUCCAGUUAAGCGAAGAAGACUGAUUCGGCUAUGGAUAGCUGAGGGAUUUGUAACAGAGGAGAGAGGCAAGACUCUUGAAGAGGUGGGGGAAGAGUACCUGAAUGAGCUUAUUGGCAGGAGUCUGAUAAAGGCAAAUGAAAUGGACUUUGAUGGAAGGCCAAUAACUGUUGGAGUCCAUAGUCUCAUGCAUAGGAUAAUUCUCUCAGUUUCACAAGAGGAGAACUUCUGUACUGUUUGUGCAGGACCAGAAGGAAACUUGACUGACAAACCCCGGCGCCUAUCCAUCCAGACGGGAAACUUUGAUGUGUCUCAGGACUUAACCUGUGUUCGAACUUUUUUCAGUUUCAGUACAGGUAGGAUAAACAUUGGUUCGAAUUUCAAACUAUUGAAGGUUUUGGACAUACAAAGCACUCCUUUGGGAAACUUUCCAAGUGCCAUUACAGAUCUUGUGCUCUUGAGGUACUUGAGUUUGAGGAAUACAAAUAUAAGGAGCAUCCCCAAAUCCCUCAGGAACCUACGGCACCUUGAGACCUUGGAUCUUAAGCAGACUUUGGUAACAAAGGUACCCAAAGCAGUCCUACAAUUGGAGAAACUUCGCCAUCUGCUGGUUUAUUGCUACAAUAUGGAAAGUGCACCUUUUGAUAUUGUUCAGGGGUUCAAGGCACCAAAGGGGAUCGACGCAUUGAAGAACCUACAAAAGCUAUCAUUUGUAAAGGCGAGUGGGCAGCACAGAAUGAUACAAGGGCUCGACAAUCUUACGCAGUUGAGGAAGCUGGGCAUUGUAGAACUAGCAGAAGAACAUGGGGCGAGUUUGUGCCUCUCAAUUGAAAAGAUGCCAAAUCUCCACUCCUUGAAUGUAACCUCCCUUAAUAAGGAGGAGCUUCUGGAGCUUGAUGCAAUGACCAAUCCACCGCCCCUUCUUCAACGCUUGUACCUCAGAGGGCCGUUGGAAAGGUUUCCACGGUGGGUAUCUUCUCUACAUGACCUGGAGAGAAUACGCCUAAAAUGGUCUUCACUCACAGAAAACCCGAUUGGAGCUCUUCAAAACCUCCCAAAUCUGACAGAGUUGCAGUUGCUUGAUGCAUACACUGGAACCCAGUUGGACUUCAACUCGGGAAAAUUUCAGAACCUUAAGAUAUUAGACCUUGAGCAAUUGAAACAACUGAGGUUUAUCAUAAUGGAAGAUGGCACAUUGCCUUGCCUACAAAAGCUGAUCAUAAGGCAAUGCAAUGAGCUGGAACAUGUCCCCGUAGGUAUUGACGGGCUCCAUCAUCUCAAUGAGUUGCACCUCUGCGAUAUGCCUGAGAAAUUGGUGGCCCAGCUGAAGAAAAACGGUGGUCAAUUUCGCCAUUUGGUUCACCAUAUUCCGUAUAUUCAUUCAUAUAACCAGGGCCAGUUGGAAGAUCUUUCUUGAUCAUUAUACAUCUAUGAGGAAGAAUCAGGUCUGUAGAGCAACCUGAAUUCAUCAUUUCCUUCUUCUAGGUUACCCAAAACGUCCUCUUGGAUUGCUAUUUCUUUACUAGGAUUGCUGCAUUUUCCUAGGAAACUAUGUAUGGUGCAGUUGAGUAUGUUUAGUGUUUUUUUAAUUUUUAAUUUUUAGCUUUCCAAGUAAUAUGCUCAGCAUACAAUUCCAUAUUGAUCUAAAAUUAGCAUGAUGGGUCUAUAUGAAGAUAAUUUGCAAGGAAUAUUGGUUGUGUUUGAAAAUAGUUUUAUAUUCUUUACAAAGAUAACAGUUUUUUAACUUAAAAAACGCUUUCAUCUUCAUUGCAUGAUGGGUUUAUCUAAAGAUCUCUCAAGUCAAACAUCAAUUUGCAAGGAAUACCGGUCAUGUUUGAAAAUAGUUUUAUAUUCUUUCAAAAAGAUAAAUUAAACACUGCAAGUUUAAAAAAUAAUUUGUUUUUUAUAUCUUUAAGAAUUAUUUUUGAAAAAAAAAUCUCUAAAUCUUAAAACACCGCUUUAGCUUAAAGAUGACUUUUAGAAAAUUUUACAACUUUUCCUAAUAAAGUUUGGUUUAGUUCCAAGAGUAUAUAUAUAUAUAUAUAUAUAUAUAUAUAUUCUUCAUAAUGCUUUUAGAAAGUAUUUUUAAUAUAAAAAACGUUUUUCUAAAAAAAUUAAAAUGUUUCACGAAAUUCAGAAAUCACUUUUAAAAAAUUAAAGAAUUGCUUAUAGUACUUUUUUUUAUAAAUGUUUCAUAGAUGAUUUUUCUAAAAACUCUUUUGAAAAAAACAUUAAAGUAAAAAUGCUUUUGAUAAAAAUAUUAUCAAACAGCUCUAAUUCCUUAUGCUUGAAGCUUCUAAUGCAACUCAUCGAAAGUAUUUUCCAUCUGACUUCUCUACAAAAUGUUUCUUUAAACUUAAAACUAAAAAUCACAUUUUAAAAAAAAUAAUAAUUUCGUGACAUGUAUAGGAUAUGGGAGUUUUGUUCUAACACUAGGUUAAAGUUAAGAAUGCAAAAAAACCCUAACCACCAAAUCAAAUUUAAAUCUUGAUUAAAAAAAAAAACCCUUAAAAUAAAUUUGCUCUACUCUGUCUCCUCCCUCUUACAUUUCUGGCUCCGCCAUUGUUCCACCCUCUCCCUCAUCCUAUAGAUGUACCACUGUAGUAUCUUUGGCAGAGGCUAACUUGAAAAGUAAGAGAGAAGGCUUUUUUUUAAAGGACACUUCUCCACUUGUUUGCCCAAUCAGAAUUUGGUUCUCAUAUCAUUUUUACACAAAUAGUCGUUCCGAGAUUAAAUUUUUCUCAUCUCUUCCUAAUAUCUUUCCAUAAACUCACCCCAAGAGUCUCUGUCACCUCUAGAGUACUCCACCCCCAUCCAUCUCCCCAAAAUUUACCUUGGAUGAUCUUCUUCCACAAACUAUCAUGCUUAUGAGCAAACCUCAACCACCAUUCCUAAUAAGGCCUGGCUUCUAAUUUGGAUCCUCCAAACUUCUCAUCCUUACAAACCAUCAUCUGGCUCAUUAAAAGUACUUUCUGAAGUCCUCCAUAAAAGCCUCUUUGAAUUUUUCAUUCUAAUUAUCACUUGCCAAAGCAUUGGAAAUAGGUCAUGAAAUAUAUUGAAAAACCCAAGAGGGUACCCUUUAUAAGGAUUAAUCUUCCCACCCCACCUAGGUAAAUUUUUUGGGAACUCACCCGUAAGAAAUCUCCAUCAAGCUUGUGCUCGGUGGAAGGUUAAACCUUGGUGCUAGGUGUCUUUCGCUAAGAAAUCGUUUUGAAUAUGUUAGUUUUUAGUUGUAUGGUUAACUAAUGUUGUUCAUUAUUAGGAUAAUUGAAACUGGUAUUCUAUGGAGGGCAUAAAUUAGUAAUAGAUUUAUGAGAAAACUUGGAAUUUCUCUAGUUUCUUUUCUGACAUGCUGCAUGUAAAUGACACAAAGGUUAGCAUAAAUUGCCUUGAGGUAGCAGUCAAGUGAUCCUAUAAGUACCACAAAUACCUGUGAGCUUGGAAAUAAUCGAAGUCUUCCCAAUUGAGAUGACCCUAGGUUCCAAUACAUUAAUACUGAUUUUCUUGAGUUGUGUAUGAUGCUUCUUUUCAUGUUAUUUACGGCAUUGACUCCUGGACUCUCUUGUACAUGCUAGUGGCAUUCAUUAGAAGUUAAGACCACUGUUUUCCAGGGCUUUCGAGCAACAGCAAUAUGGAGGUGGAAUUUUCCUAUGGUACAAGUUUGGAAUAAAUAUCAAUGGGUUCAAGACAAAUUUGAGAAUUUUUUGUGAACCCAAAGCGGGUUUGGAUACGAUGUUGUCCCAUCCCAAAUUAUAUGUAAUAUUAAAUAAAAAUGAUUUUAAUUUAUUUUUAACUUUUUUAACAUAUAUAAAUUUUAUUUUUUUAUAAAAAUAAAUUAUAAAUAUUUAUAAUAUUAAUUUAUUUAUUUGUAAACUAUAUUUAUUUUUAAUAUAAUUUAAAAGUAAAAGUUUUAAAAUUUAUAUGUAAUAUUAAAUAAAAAUGAUUUUAAUUUAUUUUUAACUUUUUUAACAUAUAUAAAUUAUAUUUUUUAUAAAAAUAAAUUAUAAAUAUUUAUAAUAUUAAUUUAUUUAUUUGUAAACUAUAUUUAUUUUUAAUAUAAUUUAAAAGUAAAAGUUUUAAAAAAGAAAUUAAGAAAAGAUAAAUAAAUUGACAAAGUGAAUAUGAAAAUUUCCUAAACGUUAUUUAUUUAUUUAUUUUUCUAUUUUGUGGAGAUGAAAUAUAUAUAAAUAAAUAAGACGAGAUUAGGAUAUGAGUGAACGUCUUAAACCUACCUGUUAUCAUCCAUAACCUAGAAGACUGAGUCCAAUGUUGAUUUUUAAGAUCCGUUUUUGGGUCUGGGUUUGCAGAAAAAACAAAAGACCUAACGAUUUAUUCGUUUGGCCUACAUGAAGUUGAUGAAUGUAACACCUUAACUUGGAACAUGACAGAUCCAUCAAACUCAGUCAAUCUCCACCGUAUAAAUUUUAAAAAAUCACAACAAUUUGGAAUUUUCAACCAUUGAAUUUUCAAAGAUAGAAUAAUUUUAUAUUGUUCCGAGGCCGAUGCUAAAGGGUUACAUAGAACUUUCAAAAUAUCUUUUUUCCCGAGAGAAAAUAUUUUGAAUAUAUUUGGUCCCCAAAACAUUUAAGGGUACUGUGGAUCCCACAUUUCGGCUUAAUGCGUUUCUCACUCGAUGGCGAGCUCGAUUUUUAUUUGAAAAAUUGAUUUUUUAUUGAUUAUUUGAAAAUGACUUGGAGUCGCCACUUAUUUUUGUUUUAUUUUUAAAGAGUAAACAAAAUAAGAAAGAAAAACUCUAAGUGUGACUCCUUAUUUUGGAAAAGACGGUCUAUGAAAAACCGGAUCGAGUUCGGGGGUCAGGUUAUUUAUCGGGAAGGUACGGUAAAGACCGUAGCACCCCUCUAAGUCUUUAAAGUCGGGUCUCUACUAAUGAGAUGAAGCUGACAUGACAAUCAAUGAGAAAAUCAAUGAAUAUUCGAAUCAAUCAUGCACAUAUAAGUAUCAGAAUAUGCAAUAGAGGAUAACCGAAGUGGAAGUGGAUGCGUACCUGAUCAGCAAACGGCAACGCGCUAUCACAAAAUGGGAUUAGUGCAUAGUAAUGAACACAAAGUAUAUCACUCAUAUCACCCAACCAGAUAAAGAAGCACCAAUAUCAUGUAUGACAUUUCAUUCAAUUCCAUUUUUAUUUUAAAGGAAAUUUAUUUGAUGUCGGGCCCCCACCAUAGCCCGUUUUAUUUUGCAUGAACUAAUUCCAUAAAUUCCAUAAUUUGGAAUUACGAAAUUUGAUUCUUGCUUAUUUUUAAAACAUUUUAAAAACAAAACUAAGGAAAAUAUGAAAAUUGCAUGCCAGAGAGAAAAAAGGUAGCAAAAUUUUAUUAAAAAUAGGACUCUUGGUGAUCCUAAAAAUUCUAAGGAUGAAACAUGAGGGAGUUGGGAUUAUUUAAGAAACAUAAAAACCUGAAAAUUAUUUGAAGAAAAAGAUGUUGGAAAGUUAUUUUAAAAAAAACAAAGAUGAGAAAAUGGGAUAAUGGCACGUGGCUCUAAGAUAGCAUGCCAAAGGUGGCCAUGCAAAACUUACCUCUGAGGUUUGACUGGAUGCAGACAUCCCACUGCAGUUACUGCAUCCCGAAGAUAUGACACGUGUCUAAAAUUGAGAGACUCCGCUCCUUUGCUUCCUAACAAAAACUACCUCGAGAUGCAUAUAGACAACCCCAGAGACCAUAUCAUAGUCCACAUGACCUUCUUUGCCUGCUAUCACCUCUACACAUGCCACCUCAUCCUCCUCUGUCUUGUGAGUUAACAUGGAACCUGGAAUCACUUCAUCAAUAGCUCAGACGCCAGCUUUGUUCUGAGCAUGAACUUCAUCUUUUGUUUCUCGAGAACACGCUGAAAUUGCCUUUCCAUGCUUGGAGCAAUGUCUGGAACAAUGUAUUUAUAUCCCAUGGAAUUGCUUAAAAUCAUUCAGCAUUUCCAAGUCAACUAGUCUCAUUGACAGAAGAAGUUGGUGCAGGCUGGAUGUUAAGGAAAUGGUGAUAUGCACCUCAUGAUAAGGCUUAGGAAGAAUGCUGGAGGAUGCACGCACGUGGGAGAAUAUGGGAUGGGUGAGUGGAAAAUGAAUAGUGGAGGAUGAAUGAUGGACUUAAUGGAUAUUGAAGGGUGUAAACCUAGAGAGAGAAGUGGGUUUAUUGACGUAGCUAGGUGAAUGGUGGGGGUAAUAGGAUGCAGAGAUCAAGAAGCAGGAAUAGCUUGAUUUUCUUUGCUGAAGAACCAGUCAACUUGAUGGAGGAGACGAUCCCACAUAAAAAUAAAGGGCAUGAAAUAACCCAGGUGGGUCCACCGUUCUUGAUGAGACGUCAUUGUUGAGCAAAGAUAAAGUGCCUGUCUCACAUGGAGCUCAUGACCACAACCUUCAGCAGCCAAUGAACAUACUCUCCCAAAGCAGGCAGCAUAAAUACUAGCAAUGGUUCAGACCAAUGAUGGAUCCACGUUGUUCCCCUUGAGAAAAUCAAGAACCCUCCAUUUGCAGCCUCCAAUAUGGAACACGUCCGAGUAGAGCUUCCGGAUAUUCAAUCCAGAAAAGUUCUCAAUUGUCAACGCAAACCUGGUCGACAAGGGAUCUUCUACAGUCUGCGCAUCCACUAUACUAGCAGUAUCUGAUCGCGCCACUUCCAUGGGCUGGGGACCGUCGGCGGGGUCGGUGUGCAAAACAAACAUUUCAUUGUCUUCAUCUAAGGGCGGAAGAGUCAUGAGAGUCCUUAGUGGACAGGAAUGGCCGUCUGAUCGGCAUAUUUGAGACAUGAACUAGAGAGAGAGAGAGCCAGGGAGAAGCAGCCUUUGCAACUUAAACACAAAGGAACUAGUGCUAGCAUAAAUGCCAAAAAUUCCAAUAUUGUUGAAGAUAUUAUCGAACCCAGAGAAAGAUUGGAGCUGCUGAUACUCAUUCAAGAUACCGAGAUAUAACCGCGAGUGCAAUCCUAUCCUAUGACUUCCCUUUAGAAUCAUUUCCACGUAAACACCUUGAUUAUAUAUUAAGCUUCCAUCAGGUAAAUGUACCUGAAGUGAUUUUGUAUCUUUUGAAGGCUAGGUACAGCACGUCAUGUCUUGGGGGUGCAUGAAUCAAAUUCUUCCAGGAAGCAUUAGCCGGACCACGUGAAACAUCAAAGGCUGCACAUAACUCCAUCCCAGACAGCUUUGCCUUGCUGCUUGACAUAGGGUCAAACCCACCUCAACGUUCAUGAUCUUAAUGAACUUGAAUGAUUAACAAUCCCAUAUCCCGAAUCUGAGAUUUCUGGACCAGCUGAUCAAGAGCUCGCAGCAUGACUUUCGAUGCAAAUUCAGCAUCACAGUCAUCUCCUCCAUAAAACUCUUGGCAAGUUUUCUGUCAACACGGGUUGGGAGUUUCCCAUCAGCUUGGGGAUUUCCUAGCUGCCCAUAAACAGGACUUCCCAUUGUAACCCGGAAGACCCGUAUCAACAUUUGAUCCCUUGGAAUGCGCACAUGAUCAAAUCUUAAAACUCCAUUGUCCAUGUUGUAAUAUCCUCCAUUUCCAAAUUCAUACCAAUAUCACCGAUAGUUAUGCCCAAAAAAGGUAAAUGAUCAUCCAUACAUAUCACCCUGCAUAUUGCUAAUCUCUGUUCAGUGUAGCGCAGGGCCAACAUAGCCAGCAGUUGCCUGGUAGAGUGCAAGUCCAGGGUAAACAAUGGCUUCUUGGGAACCAAGAUCUUCAUUCACAAGAACCCAAUGACCAUGAAAGUCUCGUACAAUGUAAAGCCUUCUUUAUGAUGGGAAAUAGCAGAACGAUGGAGAGAACGGGCCUCAAUGCAUCUCACUCACGAGUCAUUAUAGCCAAGUGUUGAAGUAGAGCAUGCCCUGAUAGCCAGGGGGGUGAUUUGGACCAGAAAUUCCAACCUAGAUUUCUCCAGGGAAGUGCAGACUGCAGUAUCCUCUCUCCUCUUUCAAAGGUAUCUCUUCUCUCAAAACCCAUAUAAGGCACAGGAUCCAGUAACAGAGGUGGCCUCAACCAUAAAAAAAAAUGCAUGAAAACAGAGCACAAAGGGAAACAAAUAAAAAGGUCAUCAAAGGAAGAUUCACAUCAUGAGUCAUCAGUGAACCUUCCUAUUAGGUGAGGAAAAACAGCAUCAAAUGCAAAUAUUGGUGGGGUUCUCGGGCAUUUCAUAGUCACAAAUAGAAAUAGAACAUAUUAAGAUUGACAAUGCAGGUAUGAAUUCAGGAUUAUAUCUCAACAAGCAACAAGUGGCUUCAUUAUCCACCCCAAGCAAAACAACAAAUAUCCAAAUAUCAACAAGCAAUGCAGAGGGAUAGCAAGGAUCCAAAUCAAACAAUAAACCUAUUGCCUUCAUACCUGAGAAUGUCCUUCUCCAGUGAGGCUCUCUUCUUCUACAAACACCUCAAGUUCCCCUUUAAAAUCAACAAAACUAAUGAGACAGCAGCACCUCUUCUACUCGCCAAACGCACAGCUCUCUUGCCUCAAACUUGCCUCCCCAGCCAAACUUCCCCCCUCUGAAAAUAUCUCUCAGACCUGCAUCCAAAAGCCCCCUCUCUCUCUCAUCCGCUCCUCCUCUCUGCCAGAAAACAGCAGUCCAAAAAAGCACCACUACCUCUCACAGUUUGCUGCUCCUAGCUCCAGGGAUCCUCCCCCUCUCUUGGAAACUUCUUCAAACCUCUUCCCCUCUCCUUGCAGAAACAGCCAAAAGCACCCUCUUCACCUGCAGGAGAAGCUCCCCCUCUAACAGACUCUGAACGCCCCCUGCAUAUCCUCCUCCAGGUGUCGCCUCCUGAUAGCUCUUCAAAAAGCAAUAUCUGAUUCCAUAGCAGCCAAUUAAAGGACGCCAUGUGGUCUCCUGGGGUUGCGACACUUGGCAAAACAAGCUGCAUGAAAAGUGCAUGAAACCGAGUCCCAAAAUGGGGGUCUACAGGUACACAUAGGGAAAAAAAUAUGAAAGAAAGAAAAAGUAAAGAAAAAAAAUAGAUUUAAAAUCAAUAAAUUAUUUUUAUAUAUUUCUUUAAAUUAAUUUUACUAUUUAUUUUCCUAAAUUAAAUCAUUUUAAAAUACAUAAAUUUCUAAUUAAUUUUUAUUAUAUUUGAUUUUCUUUUGUAUAUUCUUUUUAUAGUGAAAUUAAACAUAAGAAAAUCCGUUUUAUUAAUUUUUUUAUCUUUUACUUUCCAAGAACCUAAACUAGUACUAAGAAGCUAUAGCCCAGGUUUGAAAUAUUGCUAAAUACGGAUAUAUUGAUACUUGAAUUUUAUUUUACAGAUGUAGAAGAGAAAUAUCGAUGGAUAUUUUGACAAAAAUAUCGGUAAAAGUAAAAAUUAUUUAAAAUUCAUGAAAAUAUUUGAAAAAACUCUAAUAAAAAUUCAUAUUUUAAAGUUAGUUUUGUAAAUGUAAUUUACAUAGAUACUGUUAUGAAGAAAAAUAUCUAUAUGGAAUGAUAUAUCGGUUUUAAUAUAUAAUUUAUUAUUUAAAAUCAAAGAAUAAGGAAAUAAGAAGGAUAAUACUAUGCACAUACACACAUGUGCUUUUUUUUUUUUUUUUUUUUUACAUAUAUACAAAAUGUACAUGCUCUGAACGCAAACCAAGAAGCCCCAAAGACGAGGUCAAAAAUGGACAAACAUGCUCUCAAACGUCAAUGUAAUAUAAACUCUCUCUGAUGAUGUGACCUUCUCAAACUAAGGAUUCCUGGAUCAACGUCCGUAGGAUAGAUAGUGGAAAAUGACAUGACUACCCUCUAUGUAAUGAACUGAGGAUGAUCACCACUCGAGGUGGGAGAAGAUGAAGUGGAACAAACGAUAGAUAUAAUAAAGAAGCGGAUGAAGAACCAACGAGAUGUGAUGAAAUGCAAUGACGCAAUGAUAGGAAAAGAUAAUGAGAAAGAUGUGCCCCUUGGUCCAAGGUUCAUGAAACUCCUAAACAAUGCAUGCAUACACUGAAGGGCCCCUAUCCCGGUGUAGAAGGUGAGCAAGGCUAUAAGAAAUAAAAGGUUAUGAUGCUCAUGCGAGGCUCAAAGGGCUAGCAAUGGUCUAGAUGUCAAUAAAGGUAAUAGGGUGUGAGUUAACCGAAAUGAAGGUCACCCAUCCUGCGACCACAGUCUCAAACAUCGUGCUAUCAAGCCCUCAAAUGAUCAAUACUAAAGAUCGAUGUCCAUCUGAUAUAACCACGUCAACCCUCUAGAAUCAUGCACCAACCGUACUCCAAAUGCUCCAUAAUAAUCUCAAAGAUGAUCCUCUCAAAGCAAAGUGAACGGUGAUCUCAUCAGGCACGACUGCCUAUCACAAGCCAACCCUCAUCAUACAAGAUCAAUCUCUAUACUCAUGGCAAAAUAAGUGACAGUCUCAUCAAGCAACCGACCAAUCCUCAUAUCGUAAACCAUCCAAAGAUCAUAAGCUAUCCCUCGCCAUGCAAGAACAACCCUGGGCUCAAACUCCUCACACUCUACUUGGUCGGAUCAGAGAGGGGAUGUGCAAAGCUAGAAAAGCCGAGGAUGGAAAGGUCAUAUAAUGGUAUCAAGGGUGAUGUUGUGCAAAGCUCAUAAUGGAUGGAUGUAGGUCAAAACAGAGUCAAGGUGUGGGAAGUGAGCAAGGUACUGCUCUGAUCAUAAGAAGAUGUGUCACAAUCUCGAACUCCCUAAGUCAAAUCUCUGAUCCUAGGCUAAUAGGCUCAAUAUCCUCCAUGACAGGUCAAGCCUCAAGACCACAAUGUGCAAGUGAAGAGAUGCCUCAAGUCAAAAGUACAACACAUCAUAUCACAAAACACAAGCAUAUGUCCAUAAAGGAAAAUGCAUCCAAUGGGAUAAUCGAUGAGUACAUCAUGCAAAAGAAGGAUAAUAAAGACAAUACUCAAGAAACGAGUUAUAGUCUCUAAAUGUCAAAAGCAAAACAAGAUUAAACAAACAAAAACAAAAACAGUGACUGGUCCUGUCAUCACAUCUCUGGCCACAAAAGGAACAAAAUUUGAGCGCCACUGUACCAAGGCAAGCCAAUCAUGAGUCAAUCGCCCAAAUCAAUAAGAUCAGGGACUGCUGGUGAAGGAGCGUCUACAUGCAUGGCCAGAGCUGAGAUAGGAAUAGGAAACAUAUCAGACUGAAGAUGCCCAAACGUCCCAGAAUCAACAAUGUCAUGUAUGGCAUGUUUGAAGAGCAUAGCAUCCUUGUUUCAGAUGAGAAUGUGAUCAAUGAUUAUACACUAAAGAUUCAUAUAAGUUUUGAUGUGGAAAAUGGACUAAAAGCUGCCGAGUAUAUUCAUAAUGCUAUAUCAAAGUGGUUCCCACUUCGGCCAUGGUGUUUGACCUUGAAAAUUCUUCUAUAGCAGUGAGAAUUGAAUAAGACAUAUUCUGGCAGAAUUGGUUCUUAUGUCCUCUUUGCUAUACUUCAACCAGCAGAUGACCAAUGUGGCACUCAUAACCGUAGCCAAGAACUGCCCAAUUUUACACGCUUCAGGUUGUGCAUUCUGGACCCUACACAAACUGACCCAUUAACAUGCUCGCCACCACCUACAUAUUUUCUUAAUCGUCAAACAGCAAGCAAAGCUGUCCUCAAGCCGCCGGCGGCGAAACGCCUCCGCCAUCAUCAAAGCACCAGUCCAACCAUACCCAAAUUUCUUUCUUUGUUGCUUCCUGAUGUAAAAGCUCCUCCAUCCAUGCAUCUUAUGAAGGUAACAACAUCCCAUUAUCAAUCACGACUCAAGCAAAGCCAUUCCCGUCAUAGCCUUCAUUCUCUCUGCAUUCCUCAUACCCACUCCUCUCUAAACCUUCCCAUGCAUGCCACUACUCUGUUAAUACCCACAAACCCACUGCUCAUGGCCGAUACUCCCCUCAUUACCUUCCCUCACUCAUCCAUUCUGCCAUUAAGUGCACACUUUCUUUGGUAAGGCUGCUCACCUUGUUGACAACACCAACCACCAGGGCCACUUCCAAAAGGUGUUGACUGCCAUUGGGAACUUCUGUAUAUACUCCAUUGCGUUUGGCAUAAUAGUAGAAAUAGUGGUGAUGUACCCAAUUCAGAGAUGCAAGUACAGGGAUGGGAUCAAUAAUCUUUUGGUGUUUCUCAUUGGAGGAAUACCAAUAGCCAUGCCAACAGUGUUGUCAGUGACAAUGGCCAUAGGCUCUCACCGUCUGUCAAAGCAAGGUGCUAUCACAAAGAGGAUGACAGCAAUAGAAAAGAUGGCUGGAAUGGAUGUUCUUUGCAGUGACAAGACUGGGACUCUCACCUUCAACAAGCUUAUAGUGGACAAAAGCAUGAUUGAGAUAUUUUCAAAGGACGUGGACAGUGAUGUGGUGAUUCUGCUUGCGGCUAGGGCUUCCCGGGUUGAGAAUCAGGAUGCCAUUGAUGCCUGCAUUGUGAGAAUGUUGGCUAACCCCAGUGAGACAAGAUUCAGGGAACCAGGAUAAUGUCCAGAAUGAUGUCUUAUUGCAAAAUGCCUCUGAAUUUAGUAGUCAGGUUUAUCCACACAAGGGAGGGCCAAAUCUAAAAAUAGAUUCCUGUUCUACUAAUUCAUAGGAAGAAGAACUCCUAGUGCAAAUUCAAAGUUCUGAAUUUUUAUUGCUUCCCUACAAGGAAGAAACAUCAACUGUUGUAGAGAUCACAACAGGAUAAGUUGGGCCUUCAAUAGUUUCAGGCUCCAAUGAAGAGUUAUUGGAUUUUGAUAGCUGGUUUAUAAGGCUUCUCAUUCAUAUGACCACCCCGGGGUACCUCUGAUCAGUCCUCGCCCAUCAUCAGUUUCAGUAUACCGAUGAUCUCGCAGUAUUCAUCACUCCGGCUCCGUUGGGAUUUUAGAGAAGGCAUGCAACUGGUGUUCAAGGUGCACCAAGUUCAGAAUCCCACUCUGCAUGGCCUACAUGGCCGUCUUUGGGCCUUAUGUUCUUCUGUCAUUACUUCAUCUUUGUUUUCAAAAUAACUUCCUAAGCUCCAUCUUGCCUAUGAUCUUCCAAAUUUAAUUCUCCCAAAUAAUUUCCAUUCCUCCUUUUUCAUCCUUAUCAUUUUUCUUAGGCUUCAAAAACCCGAUUUUCAAUAAAACUUGGCCACCAUUUCCUUUCCGGCGAGCCACAUUUGAAUUUUCCGUGAUUUUUAUAAAAUGUUUUAAAAUAAGUGUGAAUUUAUUUUCGCAAUUCCAAGUGAUGGAAUUUGCGAAAUUAAUUCACUCAAAAUAAAAUGGGCUUUGGUGGGGGCCCGACAUCCAAUUAAUUUCCUUUAGAAUAAAAAUGGAAUUGAAAUAAUGUCACGCAUGAUAUUGGUGCUUCUUUAUCUGGUUAGGUGAUAUGAGUGACAUACUUUAUGUUCAUUACUAUGCACUAACCCCAUUUUGUCAUAGCGCGUUGCCGUUUGCUGAUCAGGUACGCAUUCACUUCCACUUUGGUUAUUCUCUAUGUAUAUUCUGAUACUCAUAUGUGCAUGAUCGAUUCGAGUAUUCCUUGAUUUUCUCAUUGAUUGUCAUGUUAGCUUCAUUUUAUUAGUAGAGACCCGACUUUAGGGACUUAAAGGAGUGCUACGGUCUUUACCGUACCUUCCCGAUAAGUAACCUGACCUCCGAACCCGAUCCGGUUUUUCACAGACCGUCUUUUUCAAAAUAAGGAGUCACACUUAGGGUUUUUCUUUCUUAUUUUGUUUACCCUUUAAAAAUAAAACAAAAAUAAGUGGCGACUCCAAGUCAUUUUCUUAACAAAUAAAAAUCAUUCUUCAAAUUAAAUAAAAAUCGAGCUCACCAUUGAAUGGGAAAUGCAUGAGCACGAAAUGCGGGGUCCACACUUAUCAAAUUAAUUUUAAUUUAUAAAAUAUUAAAACUUUAUUAUUAUCAUUAUUAUUUAUAUUUUAGUUUUUUAAAAUAAAUUUAUAUUUUUAAUAUUUUAUAUUAAAAACAUUCAAAAUUAAAAGGAUAAAUAUAAAAAAUUUAAAAGUGAAGUCAUAGUAAUUUUUUAGAAUAGAAUUAAUGAGAUAGAUUAUGAUACAUUUAAUAUUAAAACUAUAAUUUAUGUAAUUCAAAUAUAUUUAAUAAUAUGAAAUAAAUGAUAAUACAUAUAUGAUUUUUUUAAUAUUUAUAUUUUUUAUAUUUAAUUAUCAUAUAAAUAAUAUAAAAAAGACUUAUUAAAAAAAUUAUAAUAUUAAUUUUUAUAUUUUUAUUAAUCAAUUGAAUAUAAUUUAAAAUAAAAUAAUUAAAAUUAAGUUUUUUUUUAAUGAUGAACUUGAAUAUAUAUUAUCAAAGAGCAUCAUAGUUCAGUGGUAGCCGGGAUUGAAGCAAAGUCAAGGUUCAAAUCUCCCAUAAAAGUAAAUAAUCGAUAUUUCAAACAUUAAUCAAAAUAAAGAUAGAGAAUUAAUAAUUAUUUAUAUGGAGAGAGGAAAAUUGUUCUCAGGGCCACCCACUUCUCUCACUCGGGCAUCAAGAAGCUCUCUCCUGAAGUUGCCCUCCAGACGGGAGAAUCCAAAGGCCCUAUUUUCCUCUGCCACUCUCAAUCCUCGCAGGUACUAAUCUAUUCAUGUUAUUAUUAUUAUUAUUAUUUUUCUGCAAGCCCCGUUUGAUCCCCAAGAAAAUCCAUCCCCCAUUCGAUUUCCGGGAAAAUUCAUCCUCGUUUGAUUUCCGAGAAAAUCCAUGCAAAACCCCCAAAGAAAACCAAAAAAUUUGCUUUUUCUUUGCUCCCUGUGUUUUCUGGAUCUGUUCUAGGGGUCUCUUUGCUUUUGUGCCAUUGGAUUUAAAAAUUUCACGAACCCUAAAUCCACGAUUUUUGAGCCAGGCUGAAAAACACAACCUUUGCCUGCAAAUCCACGAUUUAAGAGUUAUAUUUAGUAUUUUUGCAGUCAAUGAAUGUGCCGCCACAUGUUUGAAUCAAAAAAAAAAAUUAACUUCUGCUAAAAUUCAUCAAAUAUUGGAACUUCAAAAACCAACAACUUGUUUUUGCCAAAGCAAAGGAUUGAAUAUUUCCUUGGUGGAUUUUUGGGAACGGAUCAUGCACCCACAAGAAAUCUCCAUCAAGCUUGAAGUUUUCUUAUUCGAAGGUUGAUCCUUAGUGCAUGGGGUCAUUCAAUAAGGUUAAUAAAUUGUCUGGAGGGAGCAGUAAAUGAUAACAUAUAGCCGUGUGCUUGGAAAUAUUCGAAGUCUUCCCAAUGGGGAAGACUCUAGGAUCCAAUACAAUCCUGGUUUUCUUGAUUUAUAUCUAAUGCUUGUGAUCGUAUUAUUUGUGGCAUUGACGCCUGAAGUCUUUUGGAAGUAUACUUGGAUGUGGCAUUCAUCAGUAGUUAAAAUCAUUGUUUUCAGGGCUCCUACGCCAAGCUUCCAAGCAACAUCAAGGUGAAGAGAAAGAGCAUGAACCCAGAUCUAGCUGGAGGGAUGGCAGACAGGGCUGUGUCGUUUCUUCUUCAAAAACUUGGAAGCUUUUGCAAGUAGAGAAUGGAACUUGCAGGAGAAUAUCAGGAAUGGAGUCCGUGAGUUACAAAGGGAGCUGUGGAGAAUAGAAGCCAUGAUGAGAGAUGCUGAUGCAAGGAAAGAUAUGAUAACCGAUUCAACGUGUGGAUUCAAGAAGUUCGCACAGAAGCUUAUGCCAUUGAGGAUGUUCUUGACCUGUUCAGACUCCACUGGGAUCAAGAAUCAGUGUGGCGCCACUUGAAAAUGUGGCACUCCAUUAGCAACCUGAUACAGGAUAUUAACACAAGGCUCGCGAUCAUUAGUGCGGAAACCAACACAUACCUUAAUGUGAGAGUAGUUCC